rnacentral:lncRNA from 1 species
CCCUGCUCCACUCACACUCCACUCCCAACAAACUCUCCAACGUCUCUCUUUCCUCUCUGGCCAGCUCACUCUCUCUUUACUCAUUAAAAAACGCUCACACUAUUCACUCGGCUCUCUCUCUCAGAAAAAUCCACAAGGAUCCUCUCUCACUACCUCACACAAUCCCUCGCUCUCUCUCACACUCCAUCACUCAGAAAAACCCUUCAACGUCUCUCUCUCACAAACCGGCUUCACUCUCAGCUCAUAUCAUCUUCUUCCAUCACCCUUCGCAAACCCUACAAACAUUGCCGCCGUCACAAUCCAACCCUAAAUCCCAUAAGCCAAGCCUCCACCUUCUACCUCCACAAAACCCUCAUCAACCGAAAACCCACCGGAAAUCGCCCUUCGCUUCUACCGCCACGAGCUCAACACUCUCAUCUUCUUCAUAACCACCGGCGAAACCAUCGACCUCCAUCAUCCCGCAACCCCACCUUCAAAACGCUUAGAAAAUCCUCACCUCGCCGUUACCGUCCAAAACCCUAAACACCACCACCUCAAAUCGCGUCACCGCCAACACUUCGCUCGUCACCAUCGUCGCACCUCAAACCGCGACCUACAACCAUCAACUCUCACUCACAAAUCCGAAGCAACCACUCUCAACCUUCAUCAUCUCUCUCAAUCGCACAACCAUUCCAGCCACUAACCCAUUUAAACACUUCUCCGUUUCAUCCACCGACUCACAACUAAUCUUUCGCGAGUUGUUAUUGUUGGUUGCUGUUUAGAUAUUUAACCUAGUUUACAGGUUGACUUCUAUUUUGCAGAAGGAAAUCGUCCCGCCGAUUUCGGUAUCAAAGGGUCUAAGGGGAGAAGAUCGAAGCGGACCUAUGCGAGCUGGGGCCAAAGCUGCGGAUUGACUUGAAAAAACCAUCGCCGGCUUAGACUGUCAAAAGCCAGCAGCAACGACAAAUGCAUCAAUAGCUGGUAGUCUCGGAAAAGUCGUAUUUUGGUAACAAUCUCAAGUCCUCCUCAAACAUGACCAUGACUUAUUUUGGUUUGGCUUUAAUCAGGUAGUUUGUUUUUGGCUAGGCUGUUAUUGAAAGUUGGUGGUUGUAUCUGGAAAAGCUUUACUGUGUAUCUGUUGUUACUAUGGUUUCCAAUUCGUUAUUAUAGGAUAGCUACUUUAAUUUACAUGAUGUCUUGAAUGAGCUGUGUUUGUGUGCUGUUAUGAUUUCAUUUUCAAUUUUCAAAUUCAUUGAAAUCACGGGUUCCGGAAGCUAGCACGAUUAACCUGUUUUGUUGCGUUUGAUUUUCCUGGUUAUAUGUCUAUUACUUUAGGAAGUUGAUGUUGAGAGUCAAAUGUCUAAACUUAAUCUUCUCAUGUGCUGUUUAAUGUUAUUAUAAAUUAGGAAGUCAUACGACAUGUUCCUUCUUUAGGGGUGACGGUUCAAAUCCAGUUUUUGCAGCAAAAUGAGGGUUCAAACUUUUGAGGAUUUUUUGACUAUUUGUGUGGUUAGUUUUGCGACCAUUUGACUAGUGUUGGUUGAUUCAGGUUUAUAUGUUAAUUUAAUUCACCAAAGAUGUUAUUCUAAAAGAAUGGUUAUGAUACUGUUUCGUUUAGUCAAAUUAUUAGGUUGGUUCAACAUGGGUUUAAGAACUUUUCUUAUGAGAAAGAGCUUUGCUUUUUGCACUAAAGAAUUGGAUUACUGACAAUUUAUGUUAAUAGUAGGUGUGAAUAAAAUGAUGAAGGGGAGCGAUGGCCUCCUUGUGUUUUUUUUUUUUAUUUAAAAAUUUAAUAUGUUUAUUUUGUUUUGUUAAGAGAAUUAUUGGUUAUUGAGUUAGGAGAUAAUAAAUUCAAAGCCCAUUUCUCUUUGCCCCCUCCAUAUCACUUUGCACCUCCCAUGUGUUAUAAAUAAAAAACUUGUAAAUAAUUUGAGCUCUUGUUGAUUCGCCAUUAUAUCACAUUAUUAAUGACUAGAUUUACUUGUAUAUUAUUAGUUAGAUAUUUCAAUAGUUAUGAAGGUUCUAAAAAAAUAAUAAUAAACUUAAAGUGAUUUAUGAAAAUUACUUUUAUUUUCUAUUUUCUUAUAAUCAAUUUAAUAAAAUUCUAUUCAUUUGAAUUCAAUAAAUUACAAUCAUCCCUUUUCACAAAUCAAUUUUUCAAAUCAACAUAAUUUCUAAACCCAAAUCAAUUUUCAAAUCAUUUUCUUCAAACCAUUCAAUUUCAAAACCAUUUUCCAUUUUAAUCAUAAACUUGGGAUGAAAAGGAGAUAGGAAGCGUACGCUUCAUUAUUUCUCAAGCACUUGAACAAUUGGCGUACGCCAUAUUGCGUGAGUUCUUGUCACCCAAUUAAACUCAAAUCAAUUUUCAAAUCAUUCAAUUUCUAAAAAAAAAAGAAAGAAUUUUUAACAUAAAUUUGGGAUGAAAAGGAGAUAGGAAGCGUACGCUUCACUAUUUCUCAAGCACUUGAACAAUUGGCGUACGCCAUAUUGCGUGAGUUCUUGUCACCCGAUUAAACUUCAAAUCACAAUAUUUCAACACAUUUCUACAAAUUCCAAAUUCUUGUAAUUCCAUAUUUCAGAUGAAAAGAGGAUAGGAGGCGUACGCCUCACUAUCUUUCGAUUAUUCGAAUAAUUGGCGUACGCCACAUUGCUCGAAUCUUCGUCAUCAAAUCAAAACCACAAUCGAAUAAAUCCAAAACCUACCAAUUCAAAUACAAACUAUUUUCACAAAUCAAAUACGAUAUCUAAAAACAUAUCUUUCUUAAAUUAAACUUCGGAUGAUAAAAGAUGGGAGGCGUACGCCUCACCAUCUCUCGAUUAUUUGGAUAAUUGGCGUACGCCAUAUUGCACAAAUUAUCGACUUCCGACUAAAACACGUUAAAUAAAAUUGGAUAAGGGAAUAGGUGGCGUACGCCUCGUUAUUCCUUGAAUAAGCAAGUAGGAGGCGCACGCCUCACUACCGUGCAUAUUCAACAUCCACAAACAAACUUUCAAAAUAAUUCAAACGAAAAGGGAAUAGAAGGCGUUCGCCUUAUUAUUCCUCGAAAGAAUUGGACGAUUGGUGUACACCACAUUGCUCAACCUUUCGUCGUUCUCCAAAAACACCUUAACAAAUCAAAUCCAACUUCUCGCCCCCGAGCGAUCGAAACCAAUCAAACACCCAAACACAUCAAAUCAACUUGUCACCCCCGCGUGACCAAAACCUUUUCAAAAAGAACACUGUCAAUCCUUUCUAAUGCGCACAACAAACCAGUGCUAGAGCCUCCCCCGAGAGUAGACAUGCCAGCGUUUAGCCGUUAGAACGCCGACUUACACAGUCGUUCAUCAAAACACACACCUAAAUAUUCGUAGUGGCCCGAACUACGAUUGUCUCUGAUUUCCUUAUUGCACCAUAAGGAUACGUAGGCAGGAGAUUGCUGUAUCUUCGCGAGCACACUAAUAAAAAAACCUCCCAUUUCCCCCUCCUGAGGUCUUCAUCCAUAUCUAUCAUCAUUUCUAAUCACUCGAAGCAAGCAGAUAAACAGUCAAUUAACAGUCAAAUAGCAAAAUCAGACUAAGAGGUUCCCGUUGAGUACAACGGACGUAAGGGUGCUAAUACCUUCCCCUUGCGUAAUUGACUCCCGAACCCGAAUAUGGUUGCGACGACCAUUAUUCUUAUUUUUAAAGGUUUUCUCGAUAUUUUCCUAUUCCUUCAUUGGAAUAAAUAAAGUUCGGUGGCGACUCUGUUUUCGAACAAUUUUUUCCGCGUCCUAUCGCGAGGGAUCGCAUUAUCAUCAUUUUUGAGGUGCGACAGUCCCCACAAAUCUAAGGGAGAUCUUUCCCUAACGGAUUGUGGAUUUCACCAGCGCAUCAUUUGCACACAAUCAAAAGGCCACACCUGAUGCUAUAAAAGGAGGCGUCGAAUCAUUGGGAGAAAGGAGAUUUUCCGGCACCGUUACCCUGCCAAAACACACACCCAAACCCUUCAUUAAAAGUUCAUGCGAUUGAAAGCUACCCAGAUUUCCUCAUUGGAAAGUUGGGUUAGUUGAACUAAACCAACAUUCAAAACCCGUGUCGAGGAAUCUAGAACGUGGAGAACAGACGCAGAAACAAAGAAGAGAUAAAUACCUGAAGUCACUGCCUCCGCCAAAGCUUUCACCGGACUCCCGAGGUUCUUCGAGACAUCUUCGCCUUCGCUUCAAGAGUUCGUUCUUUUUGUUCCUUUGUUUCUAUUAUGUUGUAUGUUUAUUAUACCUAGAUAACUGUUGAUAUCUGCGCAUAUUAUGGUAGAUCUACGAACAUUUGAGGUUUGCUGCUCCGAGUUUGAUACAGGAUCUAGAUCCCACACCUCUAUUGGAACUCAUUAGUGAAGAUUGUUCAUAGAUUUGCAGUUGACUCUCUGGUUUCAGUGGACGAUCACCGACGGAUGUUCGUCAAGCUUUCUUGUUAAAUGUCGUUAGAUCCGUCGGCUUUUGGACUUUGUUGAGCUUGUUUGUGAGGUAAAGAAAGAGAGAGGCAUAUGCGUUCGUUCCGUUUCAGCCUUCAAGGAGAACCUUUAAAAAUCCUUGUUUUCUUAGCAUUUUAAUUAAAAUAAAAUUAUUUGGUAUUAAUAAGGAUGAGGUGUAUUUAAACCAGUGCGCUUCCAAGUGCUACCUUUUUGGUGUGAUUUGUUCAAGAAAUCUAUAAAUGCUGCAUCUAGCCUAUCAUCUUCCUUUACACGUGUUAUGUUGUUGGGAAGGCCAAAGGCCAAUUAUGAACAUGCGCAAGGCAGCUGUACAACUGCUUGCGAUCCUGCUGAAUGAGAGAGUACGUAGGGUUCGGGCUUAAGGCCCACUCCAACCCUUGUUGAUUUUUGAAUUACUCUUUGUUGAAGAUAAGUGUUGGGCCUUAGGGCCCAUUACGAUUUAUUGUCUAUUUGAGGCUCUCUUUUGCUUUUUUAGAAUGAUUAUUUUGGGAGCUUCAUCUCUUUUUUAUUUCCCAUACAUCUUGAUUUAUUACUUUAAUUAAAAUAUUAAGAUAACACUAAUAUUAGAAAUAUUUAUUAGUUCGGUUUCGAUUAUUAUUUUCAACUCAUUUUUUAUCUUGUUAGAAUAUUACAAUUAAUUAAAUGGUAGAUUAAACCGUUAAUAUCAACAAACAAUUUACUUUAUUUUUUUUAAAAAAAUAAAAUUGAUUUUGGUCCAAUACCAAAAUAGUCUUUCUUAAAGUAUAUUAAUUCUAAAUAAAUUCAAAUUCACCGUAUUUAGAUAACAUCCUCUUUAAAAUUAUUUAAUUAGAUUUUUGGAUGAAAAGGAGAAUAGUAAGCAUCCGCUUUAUUAUCUCUCGAUCAUUCGAAUAAUUGGCGUUCGCCAUAUUGCUCGAAUUUUCGUCGUACUAAAACCUUAAAAAACUUGCAAAUUGUUUCUCCAAAUUAAUUAAAAUGUUUAGCAACCUUAGAUCUAAAUUAAUUCCUUGAUGGAAAAGAGGGUAGGAGGCGCUCGUCUCACUAUCUUUCGAUUAUUCAAAUAAUUGGCGUACGCCAUAUUGAUCGAAUUCUCGUCGUCUAAUUAAAACUUCAACCACAAUAAUCAAAUUAUUUCUUGCAAAUUAAUACAAAUUCUACAACCAUUUAAUUCUAAAUUUCCGAUAAUUAUAUUGAUCGAAUUCUCGUCGUCUAAUUAAAACUUCAACCACAAUAAUCAAAUUAUUUCUUGCAAAUUAAUACAAAUUCUACAACCAUUUAAUUCUAAAUUUCCGAUAAUAAAAGGAUAGGAGGCGUUCGCUUCACUAUCUUUCGAUCAUUCGAAUAAUUGGCGUACGCCACAUUGCUCGAAUCUUCGUCAUCAAAUUAAACCGCAAUCGAAUAAACUCAAAUCACUUUUAAUAUCAAACACAAUUUCAAAAUCAACUUUAUAACUUAAACUUCAAUCAAUUAAGAAUGGGAGGCGUUCGCCUCACCAUCCUUUGAUUAUUUGAAUGAUUGGUGUACGCCACAUUGCUCAAAUAAUAGACUUUUCAAAACCUAUUAAUUGAAAUUCAAAUUAUUUUCAAAUACGACAUCUAAGAACAUUCCUUUUCAUAAAUUAAACUUCGGAUGAUAAAAGAUGGGAGGCGUUCGCCUCACUAUCUCUUGAUUAUUUGAAUAAUUGGCGUACGCCGACUUCCGACUAAAACACGCUAAAUAAACUUGGAUAAGGGAAUAGGUGGCGCUCGCCUCAUUAUUCUUUGAAUAAGCAAGUAGGAGGCGUACGCCUCACUACCGUGCAUAUUCAACAUCCACAAACUAAAACACGCUAAAUAAACUUGGAUAAGGGAAUAGGUGGCGCUCGCCUCAUUAUUCUUUGAAUAAGCAAGUAGGAGGCGUACGCCUCACUACCGUGCAUAUUCAACAUCCACAAACAAACUUUCAAAAAUAAUUCGAAUGAAAAAGGAGUAGAAGGCAUUCGCCUUGUUAUUCCUCGAAAGAAUUGGACGAUUGGUGUGCACCACAUUGCUCAAUCUUUCGUCGUUCUUCAAAACACCUUAACAAAUCAAAUCAAAUUUCUCGCCCCGAGCGAUCGAAACCAACCAAACCAAAACACCCAAACACAUCAAUUCAACUUGUCACUCCCGCGUGACCAAAACCUUUUCAAAAGGACAUUGUUAAUCCUUUCUAAUGCGUACAACAAACCAGUGCUAGAGCCUCCGCCGAGAGUAGACAAGCCAGUGUUUAGCCUUUAGAACACCGACCUACACAGUCGUUCACAAAAUAAAACACACCAAAUAUUCGUAGUAGCCCGAACUACGAAUGCUCUGAUUUCCUUAUUGCACCAUAAGGAUACGUAGGUAGGAGAUUGUUGUAUCUUCGCGAGCACACUAAUAAAAAAUCUCCCAUUUCCCCCUCCUGAGGUCUUCAUCCAUAUCUAUCAUCAAUUCUAAUUACUCGAAGCAAGCAAAUAACAUUCAGUUAACAGUCAAAUAGCAAAAUCAGACUAAAAGGUUCCCGUUGAGUACAACGGACGUGAGGGGUGCUAAUACCUUCCCCUUGCGUAAUCGACUCCCGAACCCGAAUAUGGUUGCGAUAAUCAGACUAAAAGGUUCCCGUUGAGUACAACGGACGUGAGGGGUGCUAAUACCUUCCCCUUGCGUAAUCGACUCCCGAACCCGAAUAUGGUUGCGACGACCAUUAUUCUAUUUUCCUAAAGGUUUUCUCAAUAUUUUCCUAUUCCUUCAUUGGGAUAAAUAAAGUUCGGUGGUGACUCUGUUUCGAACAAACAUUUUUUCCGCGUUUCAUCGCGAGGGAUCGCAUUUUUUCGAGGUGCGACAACACUAUCAGAGCGACACACAGAAACUAAAAUAAACUCAAAUGCAAUAAAUGACAAAGAAGGUCACUAUUCUAUCCUCUAAAACACAACAACAACUAAGGAUCCUCUACCUGAGUAUCUCCACCACAUGAGUAAAGAAUAAUAUAGACAAACAAACAAUGGUGAGAAUACAUUCACAUAUAUUAAUGGUGCAUAAAACAUCAAGGAUAGUAUAAUUAAUAUCAAUCAUAAAUCAUAUAAAUCAAAUUCAUAAAUGCGGUUAUCUAUGCAAUGUAUUCAUCUCCUCAACUCCAAUGCACGUGGUACCAAGGUUUUGGAUAUCAGAGGUAUGUUACUGCUUAGUCCACUCGGCAUUCCUCUCUAAACUUGGAUCCUAUCUAAACCAUUUGACUCGUUACCAAUUCCUCUAUGAACCUGGUUCUUAUCUGAACUAUUUCACUCAUCGGUUCCUCUCUGAAUCGGAGACUCGUCACUGGACCGAAGUCAUACCAAUCUUUGAUAUACAUGAUGCAUGAAUGCCACAAAUAAAUGCAAUACUCUUCUCAAACAUCCAACUCCAAUACUCGUUAUUGGUUCCUAUCUGAACCUAAACUCAAUAUGAAUAUCGCCAAUACAAGGCUACAACAAUGAUUCCUCUCAGAAAAAACCAUCUUAGCAUAACUCAACACUUUUCAUCAUAACUCAACAUAAUAAUUAAAUCAUAUAUUUUCUCAGCAAUACUCAUCAGUACUCAUCAACAACAUCAAAUAAACAUUGACAACAAAAUCCACUCAAAAAAUCAAGUCAACAACCCAUAAUCGGUAAACCUAGGACUGACGGUCAACCCGUCACAGGGAUGACAGUUGUCACUCAAACAUCAUUUUCCUCUCUCACUUGACUGUCAUCCUUGACGAUUUGGGGACACCGUGCUCGUCAUGGAGUAUUGACAAUCAAUUUUUCAUGCGUCUAACGCCCAUCAUUUGUGAUGUAUUGGCAUUUCUUCCCCGUAGUGGUGACGAUUGGCUCGUCACGCAAGUGACUCUUGUUACCGCUGUGUAGAAUGCGAAAAUUAGCAUUUUCACCAUGGUUGCACUUCCAGGUCUCCGAUUUCGACCCAAAAUGACCUUACGCACACAACAGUUCAUCAAUCAUGAAUAAUACAACAUUUAACCACAUCAGUUAUCAUGGUUUUGACAUAUACAUCAUGAUUCAAACAUGAAAUCAUCCUCAUAUUUCUUCAAGUCAUAACAUUAAUUCAAGAGCAUCACAAAUUCGAAUUUAACACAUAUAAUCAUACAAUUCACUGCAAUUUCAGAUCACAAAAUAGAAUAACAUAAACACGAUCCGAAGAGGUUUGCACAACCAUCUCAAGAUUCAAAACCCACAUCAAUGGAGGAAAAGGAAAGGAAAAAGGAAAAAGGAUAAGAAGUCAUCUCUAUCCUUCACGCUUAAACACCGAUAUCAUGAAAAAUCCCCCCAUUACCUCGAAUUUACUGCAACCUUGAAGCUUUGGUUAUGGAGAUUCUCUCUUCUCCUUCCAAAAACUCUCAUAAGAUUUCUCUCUGACUCCGUUGACAACUUAUUCUCCCAAACAACACAUAACUCUAAUUACCCUCUCUAUUUAAAUAAAACCCUACUAUUUUUAUUUACUCACUAACUCUCCUCAAUUCUAAAUAAUUCCACCACUUUCCUUAAUUUUAAUUUUAAUUCUAAUUUCCUCCCUAAAUCUCAAUUUCUCAUUGUUUCUAUUAUUUAAAUAAUUAAAUUUAAUGAUAGUUCCAAUAAAAUUGUAUCCAUCCUCAAUAAUAUCAAUAAAUUAAAUAGAGCACUCAAAUAAAUUAAUAUAAAGCAUUUUAAACUCAAUUAAAAUAAAAUAGACGUAAAACCAGGGUGUUACAAUCAACACCGUUGAAAGUAGAAUUUAAAGCCUUAGAGUUUCCAAGAGCUUCAUUAUGUUCUGCAUUUGUCCAUUCAGAUUUAGGAUUCAAACUUGUAGUACCAUUUUGUUAAGUAAUCAUAAGAUGUUUCAACCAUUUAAUCACAACCUUCUAAAGUUUUGUUGUCUAUGGAAUUGAGAAAGGCAACCAUUUUAGCUUUUCAAUUGUCAUAAUUGAUGCCAUCCAAAAUAGGCAGUCUAUUGACAGACUCUUCAUCCUUAGUGUUAUCCAUUGAACAAAAAAUAUCUCUUGGGAGCUCAUCCGAAUAGAAAAGUGUGCCUGCUUUGAUACCAAUUGAAAUUAUGUUCCUUAGAGGACAAAUGUUGAACCAGAUGUUGAGACAACUUGUCCAACUGUUAAAUUCAAUUUAAGACUAGUUUGACAUCAAUGAUACAUCAAUAAUAAACAAUGAAGAAAUUUGUAAAAUAAAAGAGUUGGUAAUCUAGUCCGGUAAAGCCACACCUAUGCUUAGGGGCAUUCUACCCAAGAAAGAAAAUUCACUACUUUGAAUUAGAAUAAUUAAUCUUAUAAGAAUAUUCGAAUCCUAUUAAGUUCUAUGUCUCUCCCUAAUACUAGUGACUUUCCAUUUAGGCAUCCCCCAAAAUAUGAGAGCUCACUCACUUUCUUCAACCACUAACCUCUAGUGAUCAACCUAAAUAACAUUGUUGAAUUUACAACUUAACUAAGACAAACCAACAACUAUGCCAAGUUACUGAAACAUAAAGUGGCGUACAAUAAUAGAUUCAACACUAAUUCUUAUGAGGGAAUUAGCGUGGAAUACAAGAAAGAAAAGAAUCAGAAACCCUAGAAACAAAUACUUAAUCUUGUGUAAAAAACUCUCUUUUAAAACAUGAGAAUCGAGUCUCCUUAAAUAGCAAUGUCUUUUAGGAUUUUUCCUUAUGAAUCUCUUAUUUAAAUUCGUUCAAAAUAAUAGAAAAUCUUGUUGGAAUUGAUUUCUCCAUAAGUCUCUCCAAAAUAUAUGAUAUUUUACAUUCAAAUUAAAAUUCAAAUCUCUAUUUAAACUUGAUUUGAUUUUUUUAGUAGGUCAAACAAAUCAACCCUACAAUGCUAAAAAAUCUGCAGUAAAUCUGAUUGAAAACCAAUCAGAAAAUUAGCACCAACCAACAUCCCUUAUGGUCUGCUGACAAGGCCAGAUGUUGCAAUGCACAUACUAGAAUAUCGUGUUCCACAUGUUGCACCAGUACAUCCAAAUCAACUCUUUUCCAUAACUUUUAGAUCUUCUGUGGUAGAGAUAAUUUUGGAUAUAGAAAUACUAAACCAAACUACAAUACUAUUUGUGUGUUUCUAGAGAAGGAAGUUGGAGACCACAUGUUGGAACAUCGUGUUCAACAUGCGUCCCUUAUGCACAUGAACCAUAUUGAACAAACUCCAUGUUAUUUUGCAUAAUGCAGCCAAUCCCAAAAGGAUCAACAUGGUCAGACUUUUAUCUAGGAAGGUGAUUGUUAUAGUAGUGAGGAAAAAGGUUGAUCAAACCAUCUAUUGCUAAAAAUCUAUUUAAUCUAGCAUAGAUAAAGUGAGAACCUUCUUGGUUAUUAAAUCAAGCCUCCAUGUUGGUUUGGUAUCCUUAAUCAUUAGUUAAAUAGUCAAAAAGAGUAUUAUUGAUAAUAUUAGUGAUAUUUAAGUCAAGAGGGUUGACCUCUUUUUUCCCUUUCAUUUGUAAACAAGUCCAUAUUACCAAACAAAAGCCAUUUAUGGUAGUUAUAACGUUGAGGCGGAUCGGAGAUAAAAGAGCAUGUUAGUAAUUUUUUAUUGCUUUUUGAAAAGCCAUACGAACUUGUUCCCCUUCAAAUACAAUUAGAAUUAGGGAAGAUAUAGAAAUUAAUGGUGUUAUUAUUUGAAUAUAAGAUGUUGAGAUGUACAUCUUUGCACCAAAGCAAAACAAGACACCCCUCCCCAUUAUUGUAACUAACGCAAUGAAUGUUGGUGGGAUUCUAAUAAUGAGAAGGAAAUUAUAGAUCUUAUCAUUAGAUGAUUUCUUUGUUUCACAUAGAAAAUGAAUUUCAGGAGAGUUGAGAGGAUUAUCUUAUUUAAAGUUCUGAUGGUUUAGGGUUUUCCCACCCCCUGCAAUUCAAGGACAUAAUUUUCAUAUUUUUUUAUAGACCUUUUCCUCAAAGUCUUCCUGAUGUUCUUUGUGUGCUCCUUGUUCUUUUGUCUUCUGAUAUUGUUAUAAUGUUUGUUGGUGAACUAGAUCCGCUUGUCCUUCUUCUUGUUGAGGUCAGCAACCUCAAUCAUGAGAUUGUCUUCAACAUUCAUAGUUUUUCCUUGUUAUCUCGGGAUAUGUUAUUAAGUUGUUGUAGCAUGAUAUCACGCCGCGAAAAAUACAGAAUCGCCACCGAAAUUUAUUUAUUCCAAAGGAAAGGGAAAAUAUCGGUAAAAUCCUUAAAAGAAAAAGAUGAUCAUCACAACCAAAUUUGGGUUUGGGAAUCGAUUACGCAGGGGAAAUGUAUUAGCACCCCUUACAUCUGUUGUACUUAACGGGAACUGUUUUGAUUGUUUUACGCGGAUGAGUGUUAUUAUCUAAAGGUUACUUACGAUUUAUUUAAUUAGGGGGAAAAGUUUUUAAUUAUUGUGUUCGCCAAGAUUUCAAAAUCCUGUGCCUACGUAUUCCCAUAGUGCAAUGAGAAAAUCAGAGUUUUGUAGUUCGUGGGAUAGAAAAUAAGUAUUUAUUGGUUGUUUUUAUUGAACGAUGUUAAUGUUCAUGUUCUAGCAGUUAAAAGUUGCUUGUAUACUCGCCCGUGGGAAAUGUAUUGUAGUAGAACGGAUAUAACAUGUCCUUUAUAAAAGGCUUUUGAAUGCCCUAAGGCGAAAAAAUUAAAUUUGAUUGGUUGUGAUUGAUUUUAAGUGGGAGAUAAGUAUCAGACCACAAGCUAAGUACGACUGAAAAUCCAAGUACCCGUGAGCUGAAAGGACAAGUGCAUCCUGACCUCUCUUUUUCAUCCCUAAGGUUUAUGAAAUCUGUGAGACGAUUUUAAUCGUUGUUACUUAGAGGGAGAAAAACAUCUAACCACGAGCUAAGUACGGUCGUCAAUCAUAAUACUCGGGAGAUGAAAGGACAAGUGCCUCCCGACCUCUCUUUUUCAUCCCAUGAGAACUGAAUUAAACUCAUUAAUUUUGAAGUGUUUUGAAUGGAAAACAAGUAUUGAUACACAAGUUAAGCACGACUGACAACCCAAGUACUUGAGAGAUGGUGUGGAUAAGUUCGUACACCCCAUCCUUUUUCAUUUGAUUUAUUGUAAAAAAAAAAUUGAAAAUGACUUGACGCUGGAUCAAGUGUUUGAAGUUGACUAUGACAAUUGUGUGAAUUAAAUGGCAGAGGUACUUGACGUUUGAUCAAGCACUCGCAUUGCAUUCAAUUAAGUUUGAUUUGGAAAACACUUGACGUUUGAUCAAAUUUAUUUUUGUUCUUUUGAGAAAGGUUCUUUUUAGGUCGCUUUUGAUUAAAUCUAAGUUAAUUGGACGAAUAUAGAAAAUGAUAAAAUGGAAAGCGAUAAAAUCAUUACAAGUUCAUGGAAGUGGGGUACAUUUUUCCCAAAUGAGGGAUAAUCAUACACCAUACAAAAUUAAAUCAUAAGCACAUAUGAAUCAUUUAAGAAGCAAAAAUAAAUCAUUCAAAAAAUAAUCCACAAUCACAAUUCAUGAAUUUAACAAUGCAAAUAAUAAGAAUAUGGUAAAAUUUCUGAGUCUUCACACAAAAUUAUUUUCUAGAACUAUGAUCAAUUAACAUUAGACAUGUGGUAACUUUUAUUAACUAAAAUAAAAAUUUAGUACUAGUCUAAAAUUGACACGUGGUAUUAUCUUAAAUUGAGUAAAGCUACAAAUAAUAGUGACUAGGAAAAAACAUGAUAGAAAAAAGAAGUGAUAAAAAUUAAAAGAAAAAAAAACAAGCUUGUAAUACUCUGCCAUGUGAAACACACAGAAGUGGAAAGAAUUAUUUUUAUCAUUCUUAAUUUGCCAAUCAAAAUUAAUAUCAUGGGGUUGGAAAAGAAUAGGUACAAAAACGUGAAACACAAGUACAGUAGCCUAAAAAUAAACUGAAAUGAAAAAGCUAACCGCAUUUCUCAUUUGAGAUUUUUCACCACGUGAUUCUGGAAAGAGCUCACGGCUUCGCAACAACAAUACCAACUCGUACGUGGGUUUACGGUUCGGUACAGAUUUUUCGAUUCAGGUUCAGGUCUUGACUUCGUAUUUAGGUCCAGAAUUGAGUUUUCUAUUUUGAUUUUAGUUUUGGGAUUUUUCACAUUUUCAAAGCGGUUUCAACAUCAAUUAUGGUUUGUAUCGUGGUUUGAUCAUGACUCGAUUUUGGUAUAUGUUUUGAUUAAAACAAAUAUAUGAUCUAAAUAAUAGAAUUGGAUGAAAGAUUACCGGUAAAAGUCAAGAGCAAUGCGGAUUCUGUUCUUAUUCGUAAAAGGGGCCGGAUAAAAUUCCUCAAUUGAUUCUUAUCUUCUUUUUCCUUCUAUUUUGCUUCUCUUUGUUGCUGCUGAUUUUAUAUGGUUUGUUGCUCAAAUUGCGGUUUGUAAAUUGGUUGUAGUGUUGUAGUUAUCAUCGUUUUGUAACUUGCUCAUCACAUGUUCGAUCAAAUGCUUACGUUAAUCUUUUUCUUCCCUUUUUGCUUAUUACUUUGUGAUUUGAUGAUACUGAAUUUUGAAUGUUGUUGUGGUUUUGAAUUUUUGAAGGCGAUGAUGAAAAUGGAAUAUGGCAAUGAAAAUAAGUUGAAGAUUCAAGAUGAAAUGGUGAUGGUGAAAGUUAAAGUUUGGUUAUGUGAUUUUGGUGAUUUGGAGGAGAUGAAGACUUGUUCAAGGUUGAAAGUUGGUUGAAGAAUGGUGAAUAAUUUUGUGAUUUUUUGGUGAAUAGUAAUUAUGGAAGAAUGAAGAAGAUUGCGAAAGAUGCUUGAAAAAUGGUUCAUGGUUGAAGGUUAGAAGUGAAGACUUGAAGUUUGGUUAUGGUAUAGUUUGGAAAAUGGAAAUUUGUGAAAUGUCAUUUUUGUGGUUUUUUUUUGUGUAAAUAGAGAUUGUAAAGUGUGAUUAGUCCUUUCAUGGUGAAAAUGAUGAAAUUUAAAUAGAAAAAAAAAUGAAGGAAAAGUUAGUUAUGAAAGAUGAUUCAUAACUAUUGGAUAGUGAUCCUUGUGAUGUUUUUUUAAGAGUGACUAGAAUUGAAUUGUGUUAGUUUGGAGGGAUUAAGGUAGUUAUGGAUAGUUAAAAAUGAAAUGCAAAUGAAAUAUAAAUUGUGUUUGUUUGAAAUGAAAAUGAAUUUCAUUUUUAGCUUGUUAGAAAUGAAAUGAAAUGAAAAUGUGUAGUAAAUUCCACUUUGAAUACAAAUGCAAAUGUAUGUGAAAUUUAGUUUGAAAUGUAAAUUUUGUGUUUGUUUGAAAUGAAAAUGAAUUUCAUUUGGUUUAUUUGAAAUGCAUUUAACUUCGUUUUAGUUUGUUAGAAAUGAAAUGAGAAUGUGUAAUAAAUUCCACUUUGAAUACAAAUGCAAAUGUAUGUGAAAUUUAGUUUGAAAUGUAAAUUUUGUGUUUGUUUGAAAUGAAAAUGAAUUUCAUUUGAUUUAUUUGAAAUGCAUUUAACUUGGUUUUAGUUUGUUAGAAAUGAAAUGAAAAUGUAUAGUAAAUUCCACUUUGAAUACAAAUGUAAAUGUAUGUGAAAUUUAGUUUGAAAUGUAAAUUUUGUGUUUGUUUGAAAUGAAAAUGAAUUUCAUUUGGUUUACUUGCAUUUAACUUGGUUUUAGCUUGUUAGAAAUGAAAUGAAAUGAAAAUGAAAAUGUGUAGUAAAUUUCACUUUGAAUACAAACGCAAAUGUAUGUGAAAUUUAAUUUUAUGAAGGAAAUUAGAAUUAAGAUGUGAUUUUUUAUGUAUUUGACUUAUGGAAUGAAUAAGAAUCCGAACAAAUUAACUUUAAAAACAUAUAAUUUUGCUAAAAAUUAAAUUGAUCAUGGAUUAAAAAAUUAAGUUAUGAACUUUUGAAAUAAUACUAAUAGAAAUGAAAUUUAUCUUAUUUUAGUUUAAUUUGCAUCUUAUUCUUAUUUUUACUCUAAAUACCAUUAGAGUAUUUAGAACAAAAUUAAAUAAUAAGGUAUAAAUCAAUUUUAAAUCAUAAAUCAAGAAAAAUCAUAAAUUUAAAUCAAAUCAAUGUAAAUGAAAUGACAAUAAAAAUCAACAAAAUCAAUAUUUGAACAUCCGAAUAAUAUAAUAAAAUAAAUGAUGUACUAUAUGAUAAAAUGGAGUACAUAUCAGUAAAUACUGAUGCAGAUGAAAAAAAAUCUUAAGAUAAAAUCUAGGAUAUAACGCUUUAAUUUAGGGAUGAGGUUGAAGAGACUAAUGCUAGACUUUUUUAGUAGAGUUGAAUCCAUGUUAGAGCUCUGGUGAAAUCCAUGUUCCUUAGGAGGUGAUGCCAUUCCAUUCAUACAAAAUUAGCCAUGAACUCUUAAAAAUCCAAGAACUUUCUUUUAGGAUACAAUUAUGAUUCUCUGACUUCUCCAUGAUUAUUUUGAGAAUUGAUAGUAAAACUUCAAAGAUAAUCAGGUUGAUUUUCUUGGAGAUGAAUCUUCAAUUUUCCAUAGACUUCUAGGAUAUUGUUUUUCACUCGACUUUCUUAUCAUUCACGCUUUUGCAACUAUCAACUAAAUUAUUUUAACGACGCAAUUUUUUAGGCCAAUUAAACUUCUCUAAUGUCGUAUUCUCAAUUUUCCUCUUUCAGAAAAAAGUUUGACAUCUUAUGAUCAUUGAGCUAGAGUAACUUGAUUUCGUAAAGAAAAUAUAUACAUUUUAACUUCAAAAUUGUCUAACUUUUAAUUAUUCAACGUAUUAAUUAUCACUGAUGAUAAAGUCACAUUGUAAAAUAUGGUAUAAAAAACAAAAAUAUUCUAAAAAUUAUAGAAAGUAGAACAUCAAACUCGGUUUUAAAAAUAUCAAAAACUAAAAAAUAACUUUAUUCAAAACAAUGAAACUAAAAUUUCAGUUAAACCAGAUUUUUUUAUACAUGCUCAAUGACAUUUCACUAUAUAACAAGUAUAGUAAUAGUAUAAAAUAUGCUAUAAUUAAUGUAUAUGUGGAAAAAGCUAUAUUUUUAAUAUAAACAACUUUUUUUUAUAAUAUUGUGUAUUCUAUGUAAAAAAUGAAGUAUGGAAAUAAUUUAUUUUGUUUCUUUUAUCCAUAAAUGAAAUGAUAGUAAUUAUUAAAACUCAUGCAGAAUUGUGAGGUGCAGAGUUCGAAACUUGAUGACAAGGAUUAGUUUAAAUAUAAAUAAAAUAUAUUUUAAUAAUAUAAAAUUUUAUUAUUUUAAUCAUGAUAUUGAUCAAGAAUACACACCAACAAAGAAGGACACAUAUCAUGACAUUAAAUCUCACAUGAAAAACACGCAAAGAUAAACAUCAUCACUAGUAAUUAACAACAAAACAAAAAACAUCAAUCCUAAUGAAAAACAAAGACAUUGUAUUCAACAAUAGUAUCCCCUGUUAUAGGAUCAAAAGAGAUUGUGUUAGCUUCAACAUAUCCUUUAGCAAAUCGAAAAACACCGCUCCCGCCAAUCACAGACAUUUCUCUGAUCUUAUCAUACGCAACGUCCCUUCCUGAGAUAGUGAUGACACUCCCGUUAUAUUUUCCUUCAAACAAAGCAAAGUUCAUAACCAUAAGAAAAACGAGCUCGGUUUGUGAGGUAGCUGCAUAAAAUCCUUGUGCCCUAUCUAAUAACUUCGAGUUCAAUUUUGGUCAUAACGUUAAAGCAUUGUCAAUUAUCCUCACUAAACCAAAAGCACUAAAAGAAUUAUCGAAUUUAGGGGUAGAUGGAAUAAUUGGAAUGGACGUAGCGUUGUUUCUCCAACGAUGUCUUGCCAAUAGAAUCUAAAAUGACUAAAAGUUUCUUUCUUUUUAAAAAGUUUAGGGUUUAUUGAGCUCACGAAACCGGUCUCCUCUUGUUCGCUGACGAUUGUGAGGAUGUAACAAGAGAUAAUAAUAAGGAGGAAGAGGAAGACAUUUUGGAAAGCACCCAUAGCCAUAUGUUUACUAUGGUUAGGGCAAAACAUUUGUUUUAAUCCAACAAAAGUGAAAUUAGUGAAGACAAAGCUUAUGAAUAAGGUGAAGUUAGGAAACUUAGGAUGUAAAUGAGUAAGUUGUACACAUUUUUCAGACAAUUAUAUAAAACAAUGCAACCUUGACUUAAUAACACAUGAUGUAGUUAAUUGUAGAAAUAAUGAAAAAUAUAUUAGUUUUUAUUCCAUUUUUUAAAGAUUUUUGGUCUUUGCAAGUGACUUGAAAAAUUUACUAUUAUAUAUUUUGUGGAAAUGCGUUUUUUUUCUUCUAGCGAUUAGGUUUGGACCAUAAUUUUUUUCCCCUCAUAAUAAUACAAUGAUAUGGUUGAAAUUGAGACCCAUAAUCUCAUAUGAAUUAUUAAAAUGUCUUAACACCGGGACUUCAAUUUUAGCAUAUUAAAAAAUUGAAACAUUGACUAAUAUGUAAUUGUUAAACUUUUUCUAUAUAUUUAAAGGAGCAGGUUUUGUUUUGUUUGCAUAAUAAUAAAAUGAUAAGUGUUAAGAGUCCCCCAUCGGACAAUAUAUGGCCUGAACAUGUGUUUAUAAGUAGGGGCAGUCCUCACUCUACAAACUGGUUUUGUAAGGUUGAGUUAGGCCCAAACCACACAUUCUUAACGAUAAGUUUGAAAUUUAAACUCAUAAUGCCGUGUGAAUUAAUUAAAUCUCUCAAUACUAAGGGUUCAAUUUUAGGCUUAGCAUAAAUAGAAAAUACCAUUCGUAGUAAUUUACACGAGGGUGGAAUUCUAGAAAAAUAUUUUUAAUUCCAAGAAAUUUCAACUAGAGAACAUUUUAUAUAUGAUGUCAUUUGUAUUCUCUUUUUAAUUAUUUGUGGAAAGUAAGUAUUUUGAAAAAUACAAUGAGAUGAAUCUCGCUAACGUGUCCGAUCACAAGAGGAUCUUAGGUAAAUCUGUAUAAAAAAAAAGUGAAUGAUUCUUUCUAACUCUAAGGAUUGAGAUAUUUGUAGACUUAAUUCCAAAUUGUUGGGUGAUGAAUCAAUUUUCUACCGGCUGCUUGACGAGAGCGUUGGAAUAUGAAGACUCGUUCUCUCCACUAGUAGGAAUAGGAAGAUUAGCUCUCCACAUUAGCAUAAAAAUCAAUUUAUUAUUUGAAAGAAUGACAAACAUUUCUUACUUGAAAGAAUAGCAAACAUUGGUCAUUUCAGGGGACACGUGGCCUGACACGUAAUAAUUAGGUUGUUGCCUAAUGAAUACAAAAGUGAAUUGGGCGUCUCUCCUCACGAGCGUGAUGAGUUGGAUUGUAUGGCCCUUAACCCACAAGGUCACACCCUCGUGAUCGCCCUGUGGCAUUUUAUGAUGCUUCUUAGGCUGAAUGGGUUAUGAGUUAUCCUCUUCUAGAGCCUAACUAUAGCUAUCACAUUCCAAGUUCUUUGUUGUUAUCACAAAAGUAAGUUUUAAGUUUCGUAUCCAUAGAGACCGAUAGUGUUCAGAGUCCGUUCAACAUUUUUUUAUGAUUCUUAUUAGAGAAACAUUUUAUAUUUGUUUUGAUGUGUGAAAGUAAAUGAUAGAAAAACAAAAUGACAGAAAGUAAGAUGAAGAUUUCGAUGUUAAUAGUAAGAAACCUUGCUAGGGGUAUAUUUUACCAUUACAUAUUUAUCAUGUAUAACGACAUGACAAUAAUAUGCUUCUCUACUAAGCUAUUAACAUUACCACUUGUUGCUCUCAUUCUUCUCUCAUGUCGGUCUCAAUGUGGUGAGAUCAUUGGAUUACCUAAUAAUCGAUAUCUCAGUCUUUUAACCAACACAAAACAUUAAGUUCCAACAGUUAUAAAGCAGAAAGACUCCACAGCAAUCCAACUAUAGUAUGUGCGGAUAUCAAAUCUAACACUAUGUGUAGGCAUUAUUAUCCAAUAAUGAAAAUUUGGGAUCUAGUCAUGACAAGCACCUAUCGAAUGUCAAGUCGCACAAUGAAAACAAGUUUUAGAUAACAACUUUAAAACAUGCAUUAAGAGUAAAGAUUCCAUAAAUAUUAAAGCUUGAGUAGACUAGCAUAUGUCACGAACUAUUUAAUACAUGAAUAUAAUGACUACAUUACCCCCCCCCCCCCCCCCCUCCCCCCCCCUCCCUAACAAAGAUAUUUUUAGUUACGGUCACUCAUCACAGCUAUACUGGUAAUCCUGUGAAGAUGCGCUUGGAAGUUUAUCUGCCUGUCAGUUAAGAAACACUCUCGCCUUCAAUCUUCCUCUCUUAUUCUCCUGUUGGAGACCAAGGUGAACCUACUCUAAUUCUUUACUACCUCAAUCCACUAAAACUGCUUUAGAACUAAACUAGAAACCUCUAUUUAGUUGCUGAUCAAGGGUCUUCAUUUGGUGCACCGUUCCUCCUACCUUCGAUUUGCUUUCUUCUAGGUUAAGCAAUGCUAGAUGGCGUAUAUCAGGCCCUAGCCGCCAUGCUGUGUUGGGCGAGGUUCCCAUUUUCGACCAACAAACAAACUCGUUCUUCACCAUGAAGUAUCUUAGUUAAUACAUGCUAGAAAAGUCCCCACAUAUAUUAUAGUACUUUUUAUACAUAAAUUGAGGUUUUUAUAUUUUGCUUGUAAAAUAAGUUAAUAAGUGCCUACAUAUUUUACGUAAAUUUUUCACUUACAUCCCUCAAACACGAGGCAUGGGAAUGGUAGAGUGAUUUAAUUCUGAUGGACAACGAUCUCUUUCUAGAGAAAUGACACAAUUGAGCAAAGAUUAGGGGGUGAGUCCCUUAAGAGAAUCAUAAGGGAUAUUCCAUCAAGUGAAUCUUAGAGUGUGAGUCUUUUAAGCAAAGCUUGGAGGGAGAGUCUUUCAAGUGUCACUUGUGGGAAGCAUGUUGGUUGUUUAUGCUUCGAUAAAAUGAGUUUUUCCUUAGGAAUGUGCAAGAAUUGUGGGCCAUUGAUUAAUCUGCAUAUUUCUAAUUUGGACGCAUAUGGCCUACAACCUACCAGCAGGCGUAUGCCUAAGGAUUCGAAAUGAUGUUUACUCUUCCUACUAGGCUUACAGCCUUAUAAAUAGAGGGAUAACAUAUGUUUUCCUUACUCUUGCAUAUGAACUCUUCCUCUUUUCGGAAUGAUUUUUCUUCUUCAACACUUUCUCUUAGAGUUUGGUUUUUUAACUCACCACCAUCAUCAAACCCAAGUCGAGUAUUGUACUAAGCCAGCGAAAAAGGGUGGUUGGGUGACCCUAGGGACCUACCGAUAGGAUUCCUUUCACCCGUCACUCAAACAACUACAAAAAUUAGAAUGUUAGGUUUGUAAGAGUGAGGGGCGAGAUAACUACUACAUGGUAAUAUAUGGGGAAGAAAAAAAUUACUCAUUCCCUUUUUGUUGGAUGGACGACCUUGUGGUCAUAAAUGAAUUCAAUAGUGAUUAAUUGGCCAUCAUAAAGAUGGAAAUUAUCGAGAUUCUGAAGGAAUUUUGCAUUAUGAGCUCCAAGGAAAUGGUGGAGUCCAAUCAAUCUGACAACUGGGAGAGGAAACUUGAUGAAUAUUUGUGUAAGUUUGUUCUUUGUUUUAGGUGUUUGUAGUUGGAUCAUUUACUUUACCUAAUGAUUAUUUUUCUUGUUUGUAAAGAGGAUGGCUCCAAUGGACGGUGAUGAGAGGAAAGCUCGACAUGCAAAAGAAAAAAAAUUGUGUGGGGUCGAGAAAUGGUUUGAUAAUCCUACAAGCUAACCAGUGGCCUACUGAUCAAAAGAAAGAAAAGGCAUGUUGGAAGGACGACCAUCCUUUCUCCCAAGCCUAUCAUGAUGGAGGAGUCUUAGAGAAGAUAAUAAGGUUGCGAAAAGCUUGUUGAAGAGCUCAACCAAGUGAAAAGUGUGCUCAAAGCCUUGAAAGGUUCUCUCUGGGCGGAGGCUCUCCUCAAGAAGAAGUUGGAGGAGGAUACAUAUGAUUCCAAGGGUUAGGUGGUCAAUGUUGUUGAUAUAUUCUUUGAGAGAGUCGAGACAUAAGUGGCCUUCCUCUAUCGUGGUCUAGAUUUGAGCGAGAUUGACUUGUUCAAAGUCAAAAAAGAUGUUCAGCUUGUGGAUGAAGAGGACUAACGUCCCCUCUUUAAGACUACUCUUGUCAAACGGUGAGGGGGAGGGGGAGGAUGAGAGUUUUGUAAGAGGUCCAAACCCUAGCAUCCACCUUACCCCAACUUUUAGGCUUUAGAUUUCCCAAUAUACAAAGUCAUCCCAUCGGUUGAACGUUCCACUAAAAAAUAUAGGUUUCGGUUGAUGAUCCGUUGCUCCCCUCUCCUUCUCUAUCUUCCUCGUAUGUCAUGCGCGACUAUCAUGUUUUUGAAUCAGCCUUGUGUGUUCCAGAAUGUUAUCCAAAAUAUUCUUCAAGAAAACGUGACGUUUUCUCUAGACAUUAGUUCUUAGACCAACACGCUAUUACAAUUCACCAGAAAGUGAAAAUGUUAAAGAUCGUUCACACAAACGACACCAAAUGAUCCAUCGAGUAUGUGUGCGUGACUAGUUACUACUUUUAAUCUCCCUUUCUUUUUAAUCUAUUUGUUCUUAUUAUGUAUAAGAUUUGGUUUGGGUACCUCAUAAUAAUCUAACCCAUAAUUAUUUUAUGUAAUAUUUUGUUUUCUUGACAUAAAAAACAUCAUAUAUAAAACCGUUAAUAUUAACUUCGAUAUUUUGUGAUAUAACUACAUAACAAUAACAAUGUCAUUUCAAAUGGAAAUGAUAAAUAAUUGAGUCAAAGAACCAAAGUAAUGUGCAUGUCAUAACUUCUGUAUCGCCACCAUCAAAAAACAUAAUUUAUGUUUUUUUACUACUCACAAAUAUGAUCACAUGUAUAAAUUAUGAUAUUGUGUAAAAAAAAUGUAUAAUUCAUGAAAUCAUCUUUAAAAUAUACAUAGUAUGAGGCAACUUUAUAUUAAUAUUUUUAAUUUGUCUUAUAUAAAUACUUCAUCCAUCUCUGUCGAAAACAUUAAAAACAAAAAUAUUUCCUUACAUUUAGAGCUUUGUUUUGUUAAGUUUCCUUUUUAAUGUUUCACUUACAACAAAAAGAUUUUCACAAGUAUUUUUCUUUUCACCUCAAUUCUUUUUUCUUAUAAUCAUUUGUUGGAGUGAGUAGAUUUUUAAAUAGUUUAAGGUGUUGUUUUAUAAUGGUCAGUAACAUAUCGUGUUACUAACAAAUUUCACAAUUUUAAGAUAAGAAUCAGUUUCAAUAGACAAUUUUAAAGUAAUAAUCAUUUUUUAUUAGUAAUAGAGUUUUUUUCUAUUGUCUAUUGAAAAUCAGUUUAUUGAUAAAAGUAUACAUAUUAUGCUGAUCCUUAUUGUUAAAAAAAUACAUAUCAUGAUUCUUAUUUUAAAUAAACAAUUUAAAAAUAAGAAUCAGUUAUUUUGUGUUAGUAACUAACUAAUAUUAUCUAUUGUCUAUUUAAAAUAAGAAUCAACUGUAAAGAAAAAAUCAAUUUCAGUAGACUAAAGAAUUUAUUUUUUAUUUAUUUUGAAAUUGUUUAUUAGGACCAAUUUUUUCCUUAUAAUUGAUUUUUUUUUUAAAUUAUAAUUGUAGUUUUUGACUUCAGAGAUGACAUUUAUACUCAAUUUUAUUAUAUAAAUCAAUUUUAGUUAAAUUUAUUUAAUUAAAAAAUUAUUUAACAUAUAACUCGCUUAUAACUAAAAUCAAUUUUACAUAAUUAAAUUUACUUAAAAUUAAAAAAAUUUCACCAUAGAAUUAUAACACUAAAUUGAUUUUUCUAAUAUUCUAUCAUUUUCCCUGAUACCUCAAUUGUCUUUUUUAUUAUUUGAAAUAUUAAAAAAAAAAUUAUUUUAAUGAAUUUUUUUAUUAUUUGAUUGUCAAUAUAUUGAUGUUUAUAUAUUUUUUUUAUGCUUUUUUUUGUCAUGGUUUGUUUAAUGAAAUAAGAUUUCUCUUCUUGUGCUAGGAUGAGAACAAAAAGGAAAAUACAAGCUUUUAAUGCAAAAAGUGCUUUACCUAUUUCUCAAAACCUUGUGAAUAGAUGUGGUAGGAAUUUGAAGAAGGAUCAACUUGGUGGGGUCAUAUUUGGAUGCACAAGGCAUACAAUGAAAGAGUGUCUAUCUAAACAACUCUUUGGUUAGUCUUUUGCAUUUAAUUGUUUUUAUGGUAGUAUGUGUAGUAGACUAAUUUCUCUAAAAGUUAAGCUAUAUUCGAUUCAAUACCAAUUUUAGAAGUGAUUCUUGUCUCAAAUUAUUAUAUCUACAAAAACUAAUGUUUCUAGACAUACACAUAAAUAUCUUUUAUACAACAAAUUCAAACAUUAUUUAUUAUAUAUUUAACUCAUUUUUUCAACUCGACUUAAUUAUAUUAUUUUAGUUAAAAUUAUUUUUUAUCACUGCAUAAUCAAAACAUGUGUUUAGUAUGAGUUUGAAACAUUAACUAAAAAUGGUAUUUGCAAUAGAAAUUUAUACAAUAACUACGAGAGUCAUAGUAACUGAUUUAAAAAAUUAAAUUCUCAUUCUUAGGCCCCUUAGUGAUUUUCUUUUAUUGAUUGUGGAAUUAUGUUUUACUAUGAGAAUGUUUUAUUUGUUUUAACAGGUUUACCAGCUCAACACUUUUCAUAUGUGGAGAAUAUUAAUCCAAAGAUGCCUUUAUUUCUAUUCAAUUAUAGUGAUAGAAAGCUUCAUGGAAUUUUUGAGGCUACGAGUCAUGGAAAAAUGUUUAUAGACCCUUAUGCAUGGAUUAAUGAUGAUUAUACCGAUGAAACACAAUAUCCUGCACAGGUAUCAUAUGUUUAUUGUUAUCUGCAUAAUAAACUAUAAUUCAUAUGGUUCAAAAUAAUUGUGAUCGUAAUUGAUGUAAGAUUCAUUAAUAUUAAUGUUUUUGGAUUAUUUAUGUUUAAGGUAAAAGUUCGUGUACGAGUCCAAUGUCAUCCAAUAUUAGAAGAUAAAUUUGGACAAGUAAUUGGAGAAAAUUACUAUCUUAAUAAUCAUUUUUGGUUUGAACUAGAUCAUAGACAAACAAGCAAGUUAAUGUAUUUAUUUGUAUCUACUGCCAUAGCUACUAAAAACCCAGUACCACAAUAUAAUACAAAGACAAGAAUUGAAUAUCCAUAUUUUCCACGUGAAACCCUAAAAAGAGGUGAAGUAUUAUGUGAAGUAUUAUAAAUAUAUAAAUCUUAUACAUUAAAUUCUACUUAUUCAAAUUUGAAUUGUAUUGAUGUUGCUUCAUUUUCAGAUGGAUUGAAUCGACCAUUAGGUACCCGCCCAAUUAAAAAGGAGAUAAAUCAUGAUGAAAAAAAUCGUGUAUAUACGAAACUAUUAGAAAUGGCUCUUGGAAAGAAAAAUCAAGACCUAUCUUUUAUAGACAAGGUAAAAGAUGCUCCUAAUGAGAGCAAUAUAAAGGGUUAUAGAGAGGAACCAUUGAGUUUAAGAAAGAAGGAUGAGAAUUGCAGUGCUUCAUUGGAUAAUCUCUAUACGAUAGUACAGGUUAAUGAUUGGAGGAUAAAAAUAUUUUAAAUGUUAUAAAUUAAUUUUAUUUAUAUUAAACUAAAUUCAAUUUAUUGUUUUAGUCUGCGCAACAAAGGAUCGGAGAACGAAAAGUUUUUAAAAAAACUCAAUCCUCGGAAAAUGGUGAUCUAAAACAACAGCGGGUACAAUCUCAUUUUAACUAGAAAUGAUUAAAAAAGAAAAAAAAAAUUGUAUUGCAUUGAAAUUUUAUACUAAGAUUUGCAUAAAACAUGUUUUCAAAGUUUAAAAACUCAUUUCAUUAAAAACCUUAUUUUUCAAAUUCAAUAACUUUGUGCAUCACUUAGAAUCGAGUCAUAAUCAUCAUUGAAGUCACGCAUAACAUUUGAUACCUUCAAAUGUACUUAGUUUGUGAUUCACAUUUAUCAUAUUCCAUGUUCAGCUUAAAACUAAUGUUUUUUAUUGUCAUAUGAAGGCAUUGUUGCAAAUUCAAGAUGUCAAAGAUGAUUACACAAUGUCUAGAUUUACGAAUGUGGAGAAGACGAUUAUCCAAUUAUUUUUGUCUAAGAAUGCAACCAAAUCUUUUCAACCAUUGAACUUUAUUGGUUUGUACACAACACAAGUACGAUUGAAAGGUAAUCUUUAUUUUUAUUUAUUUUUUGUAAAAAAUAGUUGUGUUUUCUUCUCUUUUUUCUCGAUCUUUCUCUUUCACACAAAACAAGUGUAAUAUGAAAAAAUUAAUAAAGAAUUACAAUUUAAAGAAGAAGAUGAAAUAUAAGAGAGAUAGAGAUAAAUUAGUGAAGAGUGAAUUGGUGAUUAAGCCACAUAUUUUUUAUUUUAAUUUUAUAUGCACUAUAUGGAUUAAUUUCUUUGUCUAUCUUUAAAUUUAGCUAAAGUUUAUUUAAACAAUAUUUUGUGGGCAGUUAUUAGUACUACAAAUGGAAAUAAAUGCUUUACAAAUGUUGAGAUCUUUCAUUUAGAUUAUGGAACAUGGAUCUCUAUCAAUUCAAACUCAAAUAAGGUAAAGUACCUUAUUUUACUAUUAUUUAGCUAAAAAAUGUUUUUGUAGAAAUAUUAAACAAUAGAUAUACAUUAUUGGUACAAGUAAAUAUAUUUCUAUAUGUUUUAUGUUUUGAAAAAACAUAUACAAAAUGAUUAACUUAAUGUCAUUUAUAUUCUCAGAAGUUUGAUCUUGCUGGAAUGGAACUCAAUGAUUCACUUCAUAUCAAUGGUGGAUAUAAUGGAUUUGACUAUUUGAAGUAAGGUUUUAAAUAUCUUUAAAAAAAGCUUCCAAUUAUGUAGCAAAUAUAUUCUAAAUAGAUAUAUUUUUUUAAAUGGAGGAACCUUCUAAAGACACAAAUAUGCAAAAUUUAAAGAUAAAAAAUGUAAAAUUAUCUUAAGAUAACUUAAAAUAUAUUUCAACAAAAAAAUGUUUAUAUGAUAAUGUAUCAAAAUUUUAUUAUUGACUCUAUAGGUAUACCAUGGAUGAUUUUGAUGAAUGCACAAGUGUUCCAUAUAUGGAUCUCUUUGAUCCAUGUUUUGAGGCAAGAAUGAAGCUGAUGAAUUAUCUUGAGAAUUUUUCUGAUGCUAAAGAUUUUAAAGAGUCUAAAAGAUUGAGGGAGUCUAAGUUUUUGAAACUUUUUUAGAUAAUGUAAGUAGUAUAUACUUACUUUGGUUAAGAACUAAAAAGAUUAGAUGGUUAAAAACUAAAAAAAUAUAGAUCUUCAAAAAAUUGUUUUCAAUUAAUUAAAAAGAAACCUCCCAUAGUAGUCAUUUGGUUCUUUUAUUAUAUUUUUAACUCAGGUAGUUCAAUCAAUUUAAAAUACAACAAAAGUUAGAACAGUUUCUUCAGACAACAAAAGUGUUUAUGGCAAUGAAGAUAUGUAGUAACACAACCUUUGAAAAUAUGCAUUGCUAAGUUAGAACUUAAUUGUAAUAGAUACUAGACUAAUUUCAACUUAAAUAUAAUAAUUUUUGCAUUUAAUCAAUAGGAUACAAAAUAGUGCAACAAAAUAGUGCAUACAUGUUGAUGUUGUUUGUAUUAUUCUAAUUGGAAUAAAAUAUAUGAAUUACAUAUGUAUGUUGUAGCUUUCUAGAUAAUGCUUAUUAUGGUUUACAAAACAUAAAAUAGAUUCAUUAUAAAUAGAUAUUUAAAGAUGCUAUUAAAGCAAUUGAAAUUCAAUAAAUAUUUUUGGACAUGAGAGCAUUUCUUAUUGGUCCGGAUAUGUUCAAUAUUAGCUUUAUUAGUAAUAGGAUGUGUGUUGGAAAUUUAGAAGUAUUUUAAACAAAUUCUUCAAUGUUUAAAAGUGUGUCGGAAUAUUAUAAACAUUUUUAUAAUAUUCUAACAUUAUCAUUGUUGUCACUUUUACUAUGGUGAUCUUGAAUGAUGAUGUGGCUUUUUGAGUUGUCUAACUUAUUUUUUUUUAUUUUGAGGAUCAAGUUGUUGCACCUUGUAUUAAGGUUGUCGUUGAUUCUUGCAUUUCUCAUUCAUAUUGUUAUUCUUAUGUUGUUAUGGUCCUUGAUUGUUGCUAGUUAUGACCACCUUUAUAGGUUCAUUUAUCCUCUUAAAAACAUCUUUUUGAAGAUUAACCUUUUUAGAUGACUGGUAUUUUUACAUUGAUUACAAAAUAUGGGGAGUUUUUCAAAUUCCAUGCCAACAAAGAAAGCAUAACAUACUAUAUCUACAAUAAUAUGACUUUGAAUCUAAUUUGGCAUAUCAAUAUCAACCCAUAUUUUAGCAAAGUGGCUCAUGAUACGUUUGUUGGACAUGUGACUACAUACACCAAAGAAAAAGGUGAAUUGUGGAGGUUUGAAAAACUAUGAUUUAAAAUAAAAUCAUUUAAGAAAUCAGAGUUUAAAUCAUUUCAAAACAAUUGAGAAAAUAAGCAAAGAAAAAAUAAAAUAACUGGAAAAAGGGAAGAGAAAUAACGCUACAAAAUUAUACAUGUUCGACUAAGAAGACAUAAUCAUAUCCCUAAAAAAAUCAUCUUGAGAGUAUUCAUUUUUCUUGGGAGCUUUUAGAAGGUUAUGCCCACAAACCCCCUUAUACAAGAAAAUUAAAUUUUAUACUAACUUCUAACCAAACAACGAACAAAGUUUGCAACGGUUAGUCUACAAAUCAAACACAGAUUUUGCACAGACUAAUAUUGAACCAAGACAAAGUUUUGAAUUGACUGUCUUCUGAACCGAACCAAGGUUUUACACAGGAUGACCACAGGAUGAUCUUUAACCUACUAAGCUUUUACACCAAGUUGAACUCAAAAACAAAGUGAAAUUUUACAUGAGUCAAUUUCAAACCGAUAGAGCUUUUAACUGGGCUGAGCUCAAGAAUCGUUAUGGAGAUUCUCACCGAGUGUUCUUCACAAACAAAAUGAGGGUUUUUUCUUCAAUGGAGAAACUCGCGAACCGGACCGGAACUUCCUAAAACACUCCCCCAAAACAAAGAAGAGCUUUUAAUUGGUUUAUCUUGCAACCUAAAUAAUAACUUCCUAUGGAAGAAUUAUUUACUCAAGAAAAAAUUCAAUCUUAGCAAAUUUAUAAUUGUUCCCUCACUCGAAACAUUAUUCCUCAUUAGACUCAAGAACACUCUCAAAGCACCAUGGCUAAAAUAUGUGAGAAAAUACAAAAGAUUUAGAAAGGUGAUGAGAGAAAUGAAAAGUGAGGCUUUCAUGUUUUUUGGAUAUAAAAUAAAGUGAUAGAGAAACUUUCUAUUUAUAGGUCAAGGUGUGGUAUAAACUCGGAAACAACUCAUGGACCAAUUAACACACCUAAUAAGAUUAUGGUUGAAGUUGAAUUCAUGCACUUCUCUAGUUCCAAAUAUAACAAUCAUGUACUAGUAUCUAGAGCAUACUUUUGGGUCAUUUAGGAUAUUUUGAAGAUUGGUAUAGAAAUCGAUGAACUAGGAUUCACACUGGAUGCUCUUCAAAAGGCAACUUAUAUGAACGAAUCAUUCAUCAUGACAUCCCAAACAAAACAAGUUUUUUAUGGCACUGGUCCUUCUAACACAAAAUGAAAAAUUGUUCUACAAUGAAAAUCUAUUUUUAAUAGUGAUGAAAAUCAAGAUUUUAAUUUUGAGACCCUUCUUUCGCAACACAUAUAUGUCUCUCAUCUGAAAAAAUGAUUCAUAGGUAUACAUGUUAUUCGUCGUGAUCAUCAAGAAUGGAUAUGGAAAACUAGUAAGUAAAUGGUUUAUAUCAAUUAGUAUAUACGUUUAUUCAUUUUACUUUUUUUUAAUUUUUUUACUAAAGAUUUAAUGUUGUUGUUGAUGAUGAUCCUAAUUGGUUUUAAAUGUUGUUCAAAUUAUAGGUACUUAAUUACCGGUGGCAAAUCACAGAAGAUAACUUUUGAACAACCUACAAGACUUUACAUUUUAGUUAUUGCGUUUUUUGGUUAAUCAUUUGUUUUAAUUUUGUGCUAAAAUUAUAAGGUGUGGCCCAUUUUGGCCUUGCAAAUGGUGUAAACCAUGGAUUUUUUCGUAUAAUAUUUCUAUUUGAGAAAUAGACAAAAGGUACAAUUUUCCUAUUUCAGAAAUAGAAAAAAUAUGAUUUGGUAAUACAUGUUCAAACCAAAAUAUAGAAAAAAAAUAUAAAAAAGGAUUUCCCCAAAAUUAAUAAUACAAAACGAGUUAAUAAUAUUUCUCCAUUACCUCGAUUUUCCUCAUAACCGAGAGAAAAUAUGGGAGAUGCCAUCCAAUUUUGAAAAUAAUAAAAAUGUAGUUGUUGGGGAUGAACUCAUACACAUAAUACUUUACUCCUCGUUUAUUCCAACCCCGGAAGUAAAGUGACAAAUUUUCACUAAGUCAUUCAUUAUCUCGCAUGGGUAAUUGAAGUUAAAUCCCCUUCAUAUCCAAGAUUAAAUGUGUUUUUUAUAGUUGUGAUAUAUCUUUCUUUAAACAUGUCAAACCAUUCAUUUCUUUCUUUUUGUUUAUCUUUUCCUUUAAGCUUACUAUAGCAACUUAAAUUUCCCCAAAAUAGAUUUUCUAUAUUUUUUCCAAUCAUUCUAGCAGCAACAUUGUUUGCAUUAUUAUGAUGGUCAUGUUAUAGGUGCAUACUAUAAGACUUGGAAUAUAAAAGUAUCUUAGAUAAAUAAGCCUAUGAAAUAAAGAAAAUAACAAAUGAAACAAUGUGAACAAUGAAGAAUCCUCGAGUUAAAAUUGAAAAACCAGUCGAGUUGAAAUGUGAACAAGGAAGACUCUGGCAUGACACAUGCCUCCAAUCUAAAGUGUUUGUGCUGCUUUUAUAUAUAUGGUAUUAUCACCAUUAUUGAUAGAAAGUAUGGUAAAAUCACCAUAAUUUUAGGCAAAAACUAAAAUAAAUUUUUAGGAAAAAUGCACUUAGUCUAGCCAAUGUGAUAACAUUCAAAUAAAAUUCAAAGAAAAUCGAGAGAGGUCUAGCAUAACAACCAACUCUAGGUAACAGAGAAAAAAACAAUCUUUUUUACUUUCAAAAUAAAGUUAUUUUGGAAUAAAUAAAUGAAACAAAUGAGAAUUAAAAUGAAUAUGCCAACCUCAACAAUCAAAAAAGAAAAUUUUGGAUGUUAUCAAGCAUUAUUUGAUGAGUUUAGUAAACUCAAUGCUUGAUAAAUUAGAAAUAAAUCAAUGGUUUAGUAAACCUUUAGAUGUCUACACAGUGCUAUGUUAUCAAAGAAUCUUGACAAAUAUUUCCAAACUACCAUUGAAAUUGAUAUAUUAUCAAGUUAAUUAUUUCAAAAUUAAGUUUUUACAUCAAAAUUCACAACAAAACAGAAAAAAUAAUCAACUAACAAGAAGAAACUAGGGCACCAGCUGAGAGAGAGGUAGAAGGAUCAUUAUCAGCAACAAAAAAAAACUAAUGUUUUGAGGAAUGACGUUGGCUUUAUUUUGAGUAAUCUCUGAUAGAAACUUCUCAAACACAUAAUCAAAGGUCUUUAGGUUUUGUUGGAGGACCUUGAUUCCUUUUGUUGGAGAGAAAGAGAACCGAUGAUUUUGUUGGGGAAUCUGCUAAUCCAUACGAUAGAUAAUUGAUGGUUAAUCUAGUUAACUUUCGCGUUGAAUAUUUCGCAUUGAAAUGAGACGAAAGAGACUUAAUUUCUUUUGAACGAAAGGAUACGAAAGUGAAUUCGUGAAAAGCUGAAACCCUAAAGUUGAAACAAAAUAUUUGUGAAGAAAGUCGAGGCUAGUAUUUUAAUCUAAAAAUUGAAAAACUAUUUUUAAAGGCACGUAGCGUCAGCUUCAGGAGACACUAAUAUUAAAAAAUAUAAAUAAGAAAAAUAUAUAAAACUAUUUCAAGCUAUGAAUGAGUGUAGCGUCGACUUUAAUCCGUGUUAUUAUUAAAGACUUUAAAAAAUAUAUUAAAUGAAUAAAAUGUUAUCGUCCAUUUUUGACGCUAUUAAUGUCAUAGCCAUGAUUGGCGCUAAAAUUUUGAGACUAAGUAGUGAAAUAUCAACUUCCUAAAAAGAAUUAUUUACUCAAGAAAAUUUAUUCUUGAUAAAUUUAUAAUUUUUCCCUUAUCUAGAACACUCAAGAAUACUCUCAAAAUAUUAUGGCUAAAAUAUGUAAGAAAAUAAGAAAUAUUUAGAAAGGUAUUGAGAGAAAUAAAAGUUGGCUUUUUCACAUUUUUUUAUGCAAAAAUUUGACAGAAAAACUCUCUAUUUAUAGGUAAAGACUUGGUAUAAAUUUGAAAAUAAUUCAUGGGUCAAUUAAUUCACAUAAUCGAUUAGGCACCUCAAAUUAUUGAUUGUUGGGGUCCAAAAUAAAAAGUUUUGAUAUAAAGUCGUUAUCAAUCAUUAAGAGAAGACCUCAAUCAAUGGUAAACUCAAUUAAGAAUCAUCUAAUCCAUUGGGCCAAAGAUCUAAUUGAUUAGACAGUUAUAAAAAGUCUCAUAAUCAAUUAAACAUUCCCCUAAUCAACUAGUUAGGCCUCAAAAACAUUUUUUAGUGAUUUAAUUUAAAAAGUGGGACAUUUCUCAAGGGUUUUUAGCAUGUGUUAUUUAGUCAUAAUAUUUUCCGAAAUAUCCUUGUGUCUUUUCAAUACACUGUCGCUCGGACGGACACAACCAAACGAGAUUUCACACUUCUUUUCUUUCGCACUCUAAAGCUUCAAGUCUUUGUUGGAAAAAUAAAAAAUAAAUAAAUAAGUUCCACGCACACAGAAGAAAUACCCACAAAAAAUGAAAAACAAACAAAAAUUCAAACAAAAACUCAUAAAAUCAUAAUUCAACUUGUAAAAAAUUACAAGGAAAAAAUUGCAAACUCUCCUACAAUUGUAAUUUUUAAGGAGAAAAUUUCAAAUCAACCAAAUUAAAAUUUUUGAACGAAAAAAUUAUAAACUCUCUCUUAAUUACAAUUUUUAGACGGAAAAAUUGUAAACUCUCUCUCAUUACAAGUUUUACAAGUUUUAGACGGAAAAAUUACAAACCCUCUCAACAAACUAUUAUUGAACGAAAAAAUAGAAAACUCUCUAAACAAACUAUUUUUGAACUAAAAAAUAGAAAAUCCUCUCUAAACACACAACUACCCAAAUCUCCAAUACAUUCCCAAAAGACUACAGUUUGUUGUUGUGAGGAAAACUCAAACUAACUAUCUUUAUUUAUAUUGAUACUUCAAUUCUAUUUUCUUUCUACCAUCCGAUGUGGAACUUGGAUGAAUAUACUAUUUUACCCAACAAAUCCUCCUUUCAUUUAAAGUCUCGCAUAUCUUCACUUUAUAAUCAACUUCAUCUUCAAAGCAUUUAAGAUCAUAACAUUUGUAAAAUUACUACUCUUCAAUCUUCUUGUCUUUUUUCUCCCUUGAUCAUAAUUUUUUGUUAUUAUUCAUUUUUCGUUUGAUCAGAAUUUUUUGUUACUAUUUGUUUUUUGCUUGAUCAUAAUUUUUUGUGACUCUUCCUUCCUCCCUUGAUCAGAACCUUAGCUCUAAUAUCAUUUGUUAGAAAAAUAACAAAAAAAACAAUUUUUUACAAAUACGGAAGCAUACCCACAAAAAGAAAAAGACCGAAAAAUUCAAAAACAAAAUUCACAAAUUCAUUAUUCAACUUCUAAUCUUUACAAAACAAAAUUACAAACUCCAAACUACAAUUUUUUAAUGGAAAAAUUGUAAACCCUCUCAAUUAUAAUUUUUGGAUGGAAAAAUUGCAAACCCUAUCAACAAACUAUUUUUGAAUGGAAAAAUAGAAAACUAUUUCAAAAAACUAUUUUUGAACGGAAAAAGGAAAAUUCUCUCUAAACACACAACUACCCAAAUCCUCAAUACAUCUAAAAGACUAUUGUUCUUGUAUGGAAAACGCAAACUAACUAUCUCUAUUUAUAUUAAUAUUCAAAUUCUAUUUUCUUUCUACUCUGCGAUGUGGAACUUGGAUGAAUAUACAUGUCGUGGCUAGAAAAAUGACAGAGUCGCAACUAUCCUUUAUUCGUUCCUAAGGAACUGAGAAAUAAUGAUAAAACGUAUAAACUAAGGGUGAGAUGCUAGGUUCGGGAGUCGGUUAAGUAAGGGGAAGGUGCUAGAUACCCCUUAUCUCCAUUAUACUCAAUGAGAUCCUCCUUCAAUUCUAGGAUUAGUGUGUGUUUCUAAGGGUGUUUACUUAAUUAUCAAUUAAUUGUUAAUUAUUUGUCACAUUUACAUAGAAAUAUUUUAACUAAAAUAGACAGGAGACCAAAAAAGAUUUUUCAUUGUCGUACUCGCUAUAGUUUACAACUCUAUGCAUACAUACUUUCUCUUUAUGCAAGGGAUCAGAGUACCAUAGUUCUUGCAUAAAAAAGUUGUUUGUUGAUUGUUUUUAUCCCUUAAAAAUUCUCAUGCAUCGGGGAUGGAGAAGUGAUUGAUUUUUAAAAUGUCUCAAUACACUAGGGUAGAGGACUUACAGUUUGAAGUGUGUUGAAUUUGAUUUUACCCCUUAAUUGUUUGCAAAAAUGUAAUGCUUAAUUUAUUUAAGAAAAUAAAUUGGUGAUUAUAGUUAAACCCUUAUCCCUUAUUUUAUUCCUGAUUUUUAUCCGUUGAAACCCUAAUAGUUUAUCCCAUAUUCUCUAUUUAUUUAUCCCAAAUUAAAUUCCUUAAUUAUCCCAAAAAAAUCUCAAACAAUUAACCAUAAAUAUGUAUUAAUCCCUUAAUUAAUUAAACAAUUUUUAAUCAUUUAAAUAAUAUAAUGAUAAAUGAAUAAAAUAUUAAAUAAAUAUUAAAAUAUUGAAAACUCUAAUUAUUAAUUUAAUUAAACAAUUAAAAGUCAAUUAAUUUAAUAAAAUCCAAUUACUAAUUAAUUAAAUAAGAUUAUAUAUAUAUAUAUAUAUAUAUAUAUAUAGAGAGAGAGAGAGAGAGAGAGAGAGAGAUGGUGUACAUGUGUCAGACUUAUGGUGUACGUGUGUGCAUAAGGGACAGGUUGACUCAAUAAUAUGAUUAGCUGAAUAGGGGCCACGUUGGUGUGAAUUGUAUGAGCUCAAGGAAGAUAUAUAAAGACACCCUAUUCAAACUUGCUCAUUUCUUUCCCUUAUUUCUCUCUCUUCGCUCCUUUCUCUCUAACUCUCUCAACUACUUCUACCUCUGGUCACUCCUCGUUCUUUACCCCCUCUGUCCAAACCACCUGACUCUUCAAUUUUCCGGUUGUACUUCAAUCGGAAGAUUUAAACAUUUAAACUAGUCCUAAAAACAUAAGCUCGCUUAGCGACAUAUGAUUUGCUUCGCGAGAUGGCUUUUCUUCAUCAUGAAACUUUCAAACACAUAAAAUUUAGACCGACUUAUCUUGCUUAGCGAGUAUUGGAUAGCUUAGCGAGAUAUCUCGCUUUGACCUCAUUGUGUUGUGCUAAGCGAGUAUGUUUUUUUGGAGAAUCUUGUGCUUUCUGACUUGUCUCGCUUUUAGUUCACUUUGACCUAGCUAAGCGAGACUGAUGUUUUGAAGAAUCAUGUAUAUUCUGAUUUGCCUCGCUUUGACCUGACUAAACAAGGAUGGUGAUUUUGCAAAACUUUAACAUUUUGUUUGCACUCACUCUGACUUUGCUUUGACCUCGGUUUCAGGCUCACUUGGUCAUUUCUUUGAGCUAGUUAAGUGAGGGUGUUUAAGUCCAAUUCCUUGCUUUUCUUUGUCAAGCUUCGAGACAUGCAUAAAAUACCUACAAAAUGGUUAGAAUUAGGUGUAAAAGGUAGUAAUUGACUAUAAUAAAACUACUAUUUACAUGAUAAUUGGAGUUUUAGCUUGAAAUGCUUUGAAAACAAGUUGAUAAGUGCUUAUAUACGUAAAUUUUCCAUAUUUUGGCACAUAUCAGCUAUUCAAAAUGGGAAUGAAGUGCUUGUGACACCUAAAACUAUUGAGCAACACAUUCUAGAUUAUUUUUAGGGUACUUUUGGUGGAACUAGUACAUGUGUACCUAAUCAUUUAGAUGUGCAUGUUAUUUCAUUCCUUGUAACAGAUAGGAUAACACAUAUUUAACUAGACUCCCGCUUGCUCCCGAGAUUAAGGUUGUGGUUUUUGAUUUAAAUGUAUAUGGGGCAUCGGGUCCAAACAGGCUCUGAUACCAUAUUAACAGUACAUAAACUCAUCAUGAAUGAGAGAAAGAGCUUGUUGUUAUGCACCAAGAAGUUGGUUAUGCAGCAAGAGAAGAAGAUGAAAAACAGUUGCAUUCAAGAAGAAGAAGAAGAAGAAGAAGAAAGAAGAAAGAUUAUUGUUUCAUUGAUUGAUCAAUAAUAAGAUACAAACUGUUUAUAUAUACAAGAGUAAAGAGUAUUGGAAGCUAAUGUGGGACUGCUGUACAUAAUAAUAAGCUGCUAAUUCUAAUAACUUUUAUCAUUUUUUUUGGAAUAUUAUUGAAAGGGAUGUGAUUAUGUCGGUGCAGGAUUACUUUAACACUAGUGUUCUGAUUUCUGCCCUAAAUUCAAAUGUUAUUGUUCUCAUUCCAAAAGUGAAAGGAGCUUCUUCUGUGGGGGAUUUUCGUUUGAUAGCUUUAGGAAAUUUUCAAUUUAAGAUUGUGUCAAAGAUUUUGGCUGAUCGUUACUAUUCCUAUGCUUAUUUUUAUUCAUCAUUGUGGGUUCAUCCGCAAUAGGCAUAUCUCUGAUUGUGUUAUUCUCUCUUUGGAAGCCAUCAACAUGUUAGAUAGAAAGCAGUUUGGGGAAAUUUAGCAUUAAAAGUUGAUAUUCUUAAAGAUUUUGACACGUUGGAUUGGGAUUUUCUCAUGCAUGUGCUUUAUCUCUUUGGUUUUAAUCAACAAUUUUGUAAUUUUAUUUCGACUAUCUUACAUUCGUCUAGGCUUUCCAUUUUGGUAAAUCGUAAAUGGGAAAACAAUUGGAUAUUUUCCAUGCUCUCAUAAGAGGUUCUCAGUCGUGCCAUCACUGUUGCACAUAUGUCUUGUCUUCUUGCCCAUAUGUCUUUCUGCAGGGGUGUAGCUAUUCCCACUCAUAUUUUGUAUGCAUACGAUAUUCUCAUUUUUUGUUUUGGUACUAAGAAGAAUAUAUGUUGUUUGCAACAAAUAUUUGAUAUUUAUUCUAUAGCUUCUGGUCAGGUUAUUAACUAUGAUAACUGUUGCUUGAAAAUGUGUCACAUGUAAAUAUACAUGUAUGUUUUCAAAGUAGAAAGUGAUAAAAAAAAAUAAGGAUAUCAUACCCACAGGGAAUGAAUGUUACUUAGGUUGAUUUUGUAUUAUCUAUCUUCUGAUUUCAAGCAUGAGCAAGGAUAAAAAUUAUAGAUGAAUGUCACAAGUUCAAACGUUCCUUUCUAAACCACAUCUAAAGAGUGCAAAGUAUGAGUGAAAUUAUAUCAGGGAGUGCACGUUGAGCUAAGGUCCAUUAAUGUUAAUAAUGUGAUAAUGUGUUUAAUGAUGUGUAGUGUCGUGCCAUGAAAGGUUAGAGUGAUUAAGAGGUGUAUUUCUACAACAUCAAAACAUGCACUACUAGAGCAAGGAAACAAAUCUCUAAGUCACAAUUAUAACCCUAAAGUACGUCUAUUAUAUUCUGAAAUCUCUUAUAGUUGUAGUUCUUUAUCUCUAAGUGAACUAAUCAAGUGGAUAUCUCUAUCCUACUCUUUUCAACUAUUUUUAUUAUGAAAUCCACUUGUUGUUGGAUCUCUCACAACAACAAGCUUUUAUCGUUUUCUAAGUUGAUCACUCAAAAAAACAAAUUUAUAAACAAAUUAACACAUGAUAAAACAAGGCAUUAAACUACACAUCACUUAACAUGAAACCAUCAUAACAUUAACUUUCCAUUGCUCAACAUACAAAAGGUUUAGCUCAUAUUAAGCUGAGUACAAACUACAGACAUGGUUCUCAUAAGAUACAUUCUUAAACAAAUAUUGAAGAAGAAAUGUAAACCUAAGAGUGACUUGAAAACUCCUUGAAAGGAAUAUUCAGCAAGGGAUGACUCCAGUCGCACCACAACUCAUUAGAUGGUACAAGAAAUGGUGAGAAUAAGAACUCUCCUUUCUCUCCAUUGAACUCACACUUUUGUAUUAUGUAUUGUAUCUUUGGAAUUCGUGAACUCCCUUUUCAAUCACCAGUAGGGUUUAUUUAUAAGCCUUCACUAGGGCUUCUUGUGAUGUCUUGGAUCAUGAGCCAAAAAAAUAAGGAAACCACAUCAAACCCAAUGAUCAAAUCAGUGUUGUCCUCAAAAUUUUAUAUGCAUAGCCUCUAAGUAAUCAGGUGUAAGACCCUAAUUUUGACCCUAAGAUCCCUCAUAGCAUCAUAUCAUUGUUCAGUGCAUUGCCCCAAGGAUCAUAACAUGCUUGGCUCCUUAACCCUAGGGUUGGGACUUGUUUGAGUGUUUUGAGACCACCAAGCAUGCUUGUAUUGAAUAUUAUUGCUUUUCUUAUUUUGAUUACUAACCCAAAGCACAAAAGUAUGUCACUAACUCUUUUUGUUUUGAAGCUCAAGUGAUCAUGUGCUCCCAUGCUCCUAGGAGGCUCCUAAGCCCAAUGAAAUGGCCAAAUGAAGAUGGGGAAAAUCAUGACAAUGGUCCACAAAGCUCCUAAUCAUCAUAUAUGUAUCCCAAGUAUCUCAAUUUUCCAAUUUUAUCAAGAUAACCCAAAGGGCUUGAGGAUUAUUUCCCAAGGAAACCCUAAUUCAACUGUGUCUUGCUCAUGAAGCAACCUCAACCUAUGAUCAAAUUUAAUCAAGGGAAGUGUUUUUCAUUCAUUAUUUUAUGCAUAUAUGAGCCUAUUUAAGGAUCCUCAAUCAUUCAUUCAUCAAGAGUGGAAGUUUGGCCUUGAGAAGUUGACCAGUCAAGUCAUCUAACUAAACUGAGGAUCACUGAGAUAUAAUUUUUGAUGUGUUUGUCAAAUGAAGAUGACCCCAAGAGAAAACAUGUUCUUAAUAACCAUAUGAACAACUUUCAUGUUUAUCAUAAAUCCAUUUGAAACUUGUAAGGUCAUUAAUCAUUUCAAAACAUUAUAGGUCAUUUUGACUGAAACCCUAAUUUUGGGUCAACUUCCCAAUGACCUAACUUCCUUAAUUUUUAUGAUUUUGAGGUGAGACAAAAUGAAUUGGAAAUCUUAAGAUAUAUACUUCAAAUAUUAUGUUGGACAAAAUUUCAUAAUCCUAAAACAAAUACAUGUGAUAAUAUAAAGCAUUAUAGGUCACAUUGGACCUAAGUCAUUGAAUUUGAAAAAGUACCCAGCUUAAAAUGCCCAUAACUUUGUCAUGAAAAAUCCAAAUGAUGCACAAUUUGAGUCUAAAUUGAUAAUAUUGAAAAGAUCUACAACUUUGAUGUUGGAUGUUUUUUUAUUUGAAGCUUUCAUCAUGCAAACAGAGGGGCUUGAAGAGACUUUCUUUUGGUGAAAAUUUUCAAAGGGUGACUUAGACAUGUUUUGUGCCCAAACUUCCACAGCCAGUUUUAAUUAAUUUCCAAAUGCCAAAUGAAUUUUUUCCCAACAUGACUUUUGUUCCUUAUUUCAAGGGCUUUCCAACCAUUACUCACAUUACUUGUUUGGACUUUCCAUGAGUGAGUUUCGAAGAGCUCUUUCUUUAUGUUCAUUUUUGCAUUUCAUGGUGAAACCUAAUGUGCAAACCAUUUCCUCCCAAAUUACACGUCCAAUUCCAUUUCAAUUGAUCUCGGCAUGGUUUAGCACCCAUCAUUGGGCCUCACAUGCGCCUGUACAGGCCCAUGCACCAAAGUUCAAAUUGCCAUGCACACGAGGGAAUCAUGAGCUCAGCCACAUUUCAGCUAUAAAUAAGAGCUCUCUCUCAUUCAUUCAUCAACCUUGUGGAGACCUGAAAUGCUGCAGCACUGAAAUCCUAACCCACACCAAAGGAAUUUUCAGAUUUUUCUCUCAUUUUCAAGCUUGAAAUUCAACAUCAUUAGUUGAUUUUCAAAGCUCAAUUCCUUAACCUAUCAUCUCCAUUACAUCUCCAGAGCAAAAAGGGAUCAAGAUCUUGAAGAAUUCGUGGCCUUAAGAGCUCCAUUUCAGAGGUAGAACUUCAAAAAACUUGGAUCUAGAUCUUGCAAUUCAAUGUAGUUUUCUUUGGUUUGUGUGGUUUUCUGAAGUCCUCACACUUGAGGCAGGCCAAUGGUGGUCUCAAUUUUCCAUUUCGUGCACUUUCAGUUUGAACACCAUGAUCUUCCACCUCACAUUUCUCUCAAAAUAGGAAGGGUGAGGAAGAUCCAUGGAUACAGUGGUGAUGUACAUCACAUGAGCUUCAAUUUGAUGUCCUUGUUUUUCAUUUUCGUUACAAAAUUUCUCUCUGCAAGUGGUGGCCGGAUUCUGGUAGUUCACCGGAGAAGAUGGUGGUUUCCACCACCAUCACCACGUGGUUGCCUUCCCAGCCCUUGGAUUGUCAUGCCACGUUAUAAUCCUGACCAUUCCUUAUGUUUAAUUAUUUUAAUUCAACAUGUCGCGCGUUUGACUUAAGUGUACCAUGCGCCCUUGCAUCUAAUCCAUUCAUCCGCGCCACGUCAUUUGAUGAGGUUGAUCCUGUGGCGCUGGAUUUUCCAUCAUUUAUAUUUUAUAUUUUAUUUUCAAUUAAUUCCUUUUAUUUUCAAAAAUUCAUAAAAAAUUUAUUUGAAGUCACAAAAAUAUGAGACCAAUUCCAUAAUUUUUCUUAAAAAAUUUAGUUUCAUAUUUUGAUUUUUAAUUAUUUUUGUGACUUCAUUUAAUAUUUUUUGUGAAUUAUUUGGUUUUUAAUAAUUUUAAUUCAUUUUAAAAUGCUUUCUGAUAUUUGAAAAAUCCAAAAAUAUUUUCCUAAUACCUAUGGAUCAUGAUAAGUCAAUGAAAAAUAGUCUCAUCAAUUUCUUAUUUGAUUUGAGAUUUUAAUUCAUAUUAUGUUAUUUUUUAUUGUUUUUAAUUGUUUUAAAAUAGUUUCUGAUUUCCAAAAUUGUUGAGAAAAUUAGUCAAAGUUUAUUUGACCAUGUUAGACCUAUGAGAAUUUAAUUGGACUUGUUGAAGUUGAUUUGAAUUAAAUUUGAGGUUUGACCUUAUUUUUGACCAUGUUAGACCUAUGAGAAUUUAAUUGGACUUGUUGAAGUUGAUUUGAAUUAAAUUUGAGGUUUGACCUUAUUUGGAUUAUUUUUAUUUGCAUUUUAUUUUAAUUCAAAAAAUACCAAAAAAAAUAUGGUUGACUUGUUGAUUUGUAAUCUUCAUUUCUUUUUUGUUUGGCAUUGGUUGAUGAUGACUUGGUUCACAUUUGAUCAAUUGAAUUUGGUACUUGUCUUCCUUUUCCCUCCCUUUCAUCUUCAUCCCAUUUCUUUUCAUCAUUUGGCCAAUGAGUUAAUGUCUUAUGGUUGGUCUUGACAAAUGAGAAGUUUAACCUUCUUUGAUCCAAACCAAACUCAACUUGAUCCAUGAUCAAGUGAGUUGUUUUGUGUCCAAGAUAGGUUGCUUCUUGGUCAAACAAAUAACCUAAAGUCCAUACAAGGUCUUUCCUCUUUUGUUUUGGCAUGGCAAGUUUGUGGAACUUGGCUUACUAGUCAUGAUCUCUAACUUGUGUUUAUUUGCCUAUAUUUUUAUUGAUCGGCCUCAGAUAGGUGUGACUACUACAUUAGUCCACUUACAAUUGCUUAACAUGGCGCUACAUUGUCUCAUGACAAACUAACAUAACCAUACUAAUCACUAACUUUAAUUUGAGCAUUUAAUUUUUUGCCCUUUACUUUUAAUGCAAUUUAUUUCUUGCUCAUUAUUCAUAUUGCUUUUCCCUUUGCUCAAUUGAGCCCAUAUUUUAUGUUUAUGUCAUUUUUCUUUUGCUCCUUUGAGCUCAUUAUUGUAUAUAAAUAUAUUGCUAUCUUGUGUUUGUUUUGCCUUUGUUUUAUGUGAACCUAAUGCAAAAAGGAGAAAGGACUUAGAAUUAGGACUUACCUAUGCUUAAAGGAGUUCAAGAGCAACUAUGUCUCAUGCCUUUAGAAUGCUAAAUUUGUUGAAGAGCAACUAGGCCUCAUGCCUUUAGAAUGCUAAAUUUCCAAGUUGACUUUAAAGUACUUCUCAUCUAAACCUAUUCUUUGUCCAUUCCCCUUAUUGUGUUGUGAACCUUUUGAUGUUUGCUUUUGUGUGAUAGGGAUCCCAUCUUGAGAUUGUGAAAGAAGGACCAUUGUCAUGAAUAGCCAAGUUAAGAGACAAGCCAAAUGGAGAUCCUAGGAGCUUGAAUCCAACAUUGUUUGAUUGCUUGAUUGUUUGCUAAGUCCAAAGGAAAUGAGCAUCUUGAAUCAUCUCUAUGAUUUCAAGAAAAGGAACUCCAAUGGUUUAUCUUCUCCCUCUUAUCUUUUUAUGCUUUAGGACUAACCAUUCUCUUCUUCUCCCCACUCUAACCCAAGCCUAAAUCAUUUUCAAUACUUUGACUUUGUUUCAAACUAGAAACCUAGGCCUUAUGCCUUUGACUUUUCAAAACCAUUUUCAUUAAUACUCAUUGUGAAUAAACUUUAAUCCAACUUUGAUCUCAUUUUGUAAAUAAAUUUAACUUGUAAAUAUAACCCAUUUUCAAGUUGUUUUGUGGUUCCAAUGGCCACUUGUUUCAUCUUUUCAAAAACAUUAGUCAUAGGUUUGAGUUAUCAUAGUGGUUGAUGUAAAUCUCACCUCAUCCUUAGUGUUGGAUUAUAAGUCUCCCAUGCUUAUUAUAUGGUUAACCCCUCACUAGCAUGUUGAAGCCUUCCUCACAUGGUGGAUUGUUGGUUUAGGUUGAGUUUUCUCUCUUUGAUAACAAAACACCUUAAGGCUUUUGAUCAAAAUCAAUUCACCAAUCUUUGAGAUUUUUACCCUGAACUACGAGAUUUUGAUCCUACCUUUGUGAUGGUACGUAGGCAAUGGGUUCGUCCAUUCAAACAACAAAAUUUGUAAAUAUAAUCUAUUCUCUUCUCAUCCCUCCGAUAUUUUGCACAAAUCUUUUCACAAAUACCAACCUAUAACACAUAUUUGUAAAAAGGAUUCCCUUAGAGUACUAAGGAUGUUUUGGAUGCGUAAAACCUUCCCACUUCAUAACCAACCCCCUUACCCAGAUCUCUGACAUUUUUAUUAGUUUUUGAUUUGAAAAACUUCUUACCUUGGCUUUUGUUCGCUUUUUAGCCUUUCCUUUGGAUAAAUAAAAGUGCGGUGGCGACUUUUGAUUUGAAAAACUUCUUACCUUGGCUUUUGUUCGCUUUUUAGCCUUUCCUUUGGAUAAAUAAAAGUGCGGUGGCGACUCGAAUUGUAUGUUUACUUUUGGUUUAGUCAAUAAACCUAAAGGUAACGAAAACCCCGCUACAUCAGGUAUAAGGGGACAUUUGUGGGAGACAAAGCGUCUGGUGGCAGACUGUUGUAACAAGGCGCAGACGACGCUGUCCAUUUUGGAAGAUGGUGCAGAGUAGUGGUUGUACAAUUGUACUACUAUUGUCUUCUAGUGCCUCUUAGUCUUAUCCACAUAUUCAAAUGAAUUUCCUUAAGUCCAAGCACAAUUACCCUAGUAUUAUGCUCCUAUCAAGAUUUUCCCUAGGACUUAGGUGCUUCCUUCACAUUAUCUCUUGGUUAGAGCUUAUCUUUUUACUUCAGCUAGUGCUCCCAGGUGCUGUCUAGCACAGUCUUUCCUUAGCUUAUCAGACACAGCCUAAAUUCAAGCAACAAAAACAUUAAACCAACAAAAGGGAGCAUCUAUUAUACUCCAAGUUAAUUGCUACAAAAUAACUAAAAUGAACUGAAAGUAACAACUUAGGAGCAAUAAAACUAACGAUAAUGUAGAACCAAAGUAUGCAAAUACUCACUAAAGGUGAGUUAUCAAUAAGAGUAAGUUCUUUUAUGGUUCCAUCACUCGUUAUUGAGUUCACAAAAUUUCUAACAUGUUGGGUUUUAGUGAGGGAUCCAUUUCAUUUACUUAUUUAGGUUGUCCUAUUUUCAAAGGGAAGCGUAAAUUCUCCUAUUUUUGGGAAAUUACAGAUAUUUUCAAGGUGAAGUUAACUUCUUGAAAAGGAUCAUUGCUUACUACUAUGGGUCAUAUUCAACUUAUUAAAUCCAUUAUCCAUAGUACAUUGGUGUAUUCUUUCAAUUUUUAUAGAUAGCCCAAUAAACUUUUGAAGACUCUAGAUCGUUGGAUAAAUAUUUUCCUUUAGAGUGGCGAUAUUUAAACUAAGAAAGUGUGUACAGUUGCUUGGGUGAUUGUCUACCUCCCUUGGGAUUCAGGUGGCUUGAAUAUGAAGUCAACAAGGGAGUUUAAUGAAAGUCUCAUUUUACUCUUGAGCUGGAAUUGUUUUUCUGGUGAGUCACAAUGGUCUAAUAUGUUUAAGCUUAGAUAUUUCUCCCAUGGUCGACAUAAGCAUCAUUAUUUAUAAUCCUCAACCUGGAUAGGUAUUAGAGAUCACUUGGAUUUUGUCAUUUGUAAUUCAGUUUGGAUUAUUUGCAAGGGGAACAUAUUAAUUUUUGGCUUGGUGCUCUUUUAGAAGACUUAUUAGCGCUCUCAGUCAGUGCAUUUGAUUCUCAAAGGCUUCUCUUCCAUCAUUAGGGAAGAUCGUCUAGAUUUUCCUAUUGAUGUUAUUAGAAGUACAAAGGUUACAUCUCGACUACCUAGUAUUAUUUUUGUCUGUUUCCCCUCUCCCGGAUAAACUUGUUUGGUCUCACUCAUCUGACGGUAUGUUAACUGUGAAUCAAGCUUAUCAUUUCUUUCAUCCCCCAUCUUUGACUAUUGAUUGGUUCACUAUUAUCCGGCGUCCUUGUAUUCCUAUGUUUCAAUCUUUUAUCUUUUGGAGGAUUAUGCAUAGAAAAAUUCCUACGGAUGAGAACCUUCGCAUUCGAGGUUGUACGACUGUGUCCAUUUGCAUUUUAUGUAUGGUUGCGUUCAAAACACCGACUCAACUUUUCCUCGAGUGUUCAUUUGUUGUAGAUCUUUGGAAGUGGUUGGCGGGAGGCUUCAUAUUUUCAUUGAUUUGUCAAAUUUUGUUCCUACUUUAUCUUUCAUCCCCUAUCGGUGUAAUUCGUAAGUUAGAGAUGUCAUUGUUGCAGGUCUCAUUCAUACUUUUCAUACUAUUUAGAUGGCUCGCAAUUUUAUUCGCUUUCAAGAUGCAAAAAUUUAUAUUCAUGUUGCUAGAGAAAAAAUUGUUAUAGCGGUAUCCUGAAUGGUAGCUAUUCAAAUGGUCAUUGUCUUUCCAUUCCAUCGGACAUUGGUAUUCUAAAUAAAAAAAUUUAUUUCUUCGCAACAUAGGAGAUUAAAAAACAUUGUGAUAGUUAUUUGGCAACCUCCUACAACCUCUUAGGUUAAGAUUAACAUUUAUGGUUCGAUAGUGGGUUUACAUGCACCCCGUGGUGGCAUAUUCAGAUAUCAGAGUGGGGCAUUCCUUAGUGGGUUCUCUUCCAACCUCAGACAUUAUUCUAUUUUUGAAUGUCAGCUACAAUGCCUUAUGUUGGCUAUGGAAUUGGUUGCGUAACAUAGAUGGACUAGUAUUUGGAUUGAAGGUGACUCUAAUACUGUUAUUUUAGCUUUUAAGAAGCCUUUGAUUGUGCAUUAUAGAUUUCACAAUCAUUGGCAUUAUUGUUUUUAUCUUGGGUUAUAGGUGAUAUCAUCGCAUAUUUUCAUAAAGGGUAACUGUUGUGCAGAUAAGCUGAUUAAUCAUGGUCACUCUGUUCAUAACACUGUUUAGUGGGAAUCUCUUCCCAGUUUCAUUAGAGAGUAUUUCUUUAGGGACCGCUUCAGUUUACCUAAUUUCUUGUUUCCCUUAGUUUGCCUUUGAGGAUUCGUUUUUGCUUCUCUUUGAGAGUUUUAGAUUGGUCCCCCUCUUGUACAUAUAUUUUUCUUUUUUUAGGGGUUAAAUAUGUUUGUGGUCUUCCUAAAUAUCUCAAAUUUCAUUUUUAGUCUCUCAAAAUAUUUUCUUCAAGGAAUGGUCCUCCUAAAAAUUUGCAUCCACACUUUUGAUCCAUAGUACUAAAAUCAUCGCUAAAAUUGUCGUUAAUUUAGUCGCUAAGUAAUAAAACGUCGCUAAAACCAUCGUUAAUUUUGUCGCUAAGUUGUAAAAAUCGUCGCUAAGUUGCAGGAGAGACCAAAGUCAUGAAUGAAAAGUUUUAGAAAGAUCAUUCUUUAAAGAAAAUAUUUUGAGUGAUUAAAAACGAAAGUUAAAAUAUUUAAGAGUACCAGAAAUAUAUUUAAUCAUUUUUUGAUAAUAUUUUGAAUGUAUGGAUUAAGAUAGAGGUUUUCUAGAAAUACCGACAUAAUUGAGAUGUAUGCAUAUCUCUUGAUAUUCGUAUGACUCUGGCUAAGAAAAUCUUAAUAUUAUAUUUAUAAAUUUUUAAUAAUUAUUGUCACUUUGUAGAUUGAUUAAAGUAUAGAUAAAAAUGAAGACUCAAAGAAUUUGUCAAUGGUGGAAUUUGUUUUUGACUACAUGCAAUGAACGUUAAUAAAUACAUUAAGAUUUUGUAAUUUCAAUAAAAGAUGGUCCCAAGAUUAGAUGGUUCCAAUUUUAAUAUCAGUAUUUUUAAUUUUUUAAAGAAAACUCUACAUUAAAAUUUUGACAUUGAUCAGUGUUAUGUAUUUGAGCUACUUUUUUCAAUGUAAUAUGAUUAAAAUUAUUAUUUGACCCCAAAUUAUAAAUAUUAUUAAAAAAAAUGUUCUCCAAUCAUUCAAAUUUUUUAAUUUAAAUAUAAAAAGAUAUACUAUAUAAAUUAUCUCAUCAAAUAAAAAUAAAAGAAUAUGUUAGUUGUUAAAUAAUAAAACUAUAAAGAAAAAACAGAGUUCAAAAGACAAUUUCUUAAAUAAAGUUGUUUUUGACACCUAAAAACGUAAAUUCGUAUGUAUUCAUCAUAUGAGACUCAUUUCCAAUAUAACCCUAUUUACCACACAACUGUAUGUGUUUUGAUUCUCUUCAAUGAAGCAUUGUGCCACUCUUCAGUGACGUGUCAUCCGCGUCUUUUGUCUAAAAUUCUGGUCCAAAUUAUCAAAUUUUAAAUCUAAAACUUCUAAAACAUAUAUAAAUUUAUAAAAUAUAUAUAUUGAAAUAGAGGAACCCCGAAAGACCCUCGGCAACUUCUUUUUUUCAAUAUUAUGUAUUACGGGAUUAUCAAACAACUCAAUAAAAUUGAACUUUGAUAAUUUAAUUCAUAAUUUCUCCGAUUUAAAGAAGAUAAAUAAGAAAACUCUCUUAAAGAGGUUGAUGUCGCAUCUCGAAAAACACGAUCUCGCAAGCGUUCACACGUUUGUGAAAAUGAUUGAAUAGAGUGGCCACUAAUUUUUAUUUAUUUCAAAUAAGAAAAGAGAAAAUAUCAAUAAAACUCUUAAAAGAAAAAAAAAA